rnacentral:lncRNA from 1 species
GGUUAACCCUUUUGGUUAACAAUCACUCACUGACACUAUCCCAAAUAUCGGGGAGACGCAACCUGCACCCGACGGGACUGUCAACUGGGGGAGACGCAACCUCCUGGUCCAGUAAAGAUGACUACUCCGGAGCUCAUCGUCCAAGGGGGAGCGACCCCACUUGAACCAAACAAAUGUGAGUAUGAUCUGAUCCCCCUUUUAGAGGAUUCAACUGACAAACACUGUCACACUUUACUCUAACUAGUUCUUUAUACUAGUUUCACAAUUCCAUCUUUCGAUGCUAACCAAAUCUCUAGUUGAAUGUCACCAAGUUUACUAUUGCUAUAGUCCAUACCUUCAUAGGGUUCCAUGUUCACACUCUAAGUUCACAUUUUCUCAACAUUGAUAAACAUUCACAUAUUCAAAUAUCACUUUCAUAAUAUCACUACCCUGUGAUGCAUGAAUACAAGUAAUAUGCUCAAUGGAAAACCAUAGACAUAAAAGGUGAUUCAAAGACUUCGGAUAGCACCACCCACCUGUAGUGGUGUCAAUCAACAGAGAUCAAUGUCUCGGAGUGCGUCGACAACUAGUACUCGCGACUCAGUGCCAAUCGAACUAGAACGGUCUCUACCGUAAUUAGCGAGCGCGUCGACCUGUCGAAAAGUCAAUUUAGACUUUCGAGCAUGUUUAACUUUCAUGUAUAAAGGAUUAAAAGAGAUUAAACUGACAUCAUAGUCAUUUUUAGCAAAACUUGCAUUUCCAGUCCAAUUAAUCUCAAAUCAUAAUAUCAAUUUAACCCUCACUAAUUCGCUUCAGUUCUGAUCAGCAACCAAUCUCUAUGCUGAAUUAUUUGCUGAAAUCUGCUCCGAUGCUCUCAUUUCAGCACAUGAGAAUCAGUUUCUUUUUAUGAUUCCAUUAACCACUACAUAUCCUAGCUUAAUUCCUUUACAGCUAUAAUUAAUUCUAAGCUAAGGGGUAAGUUAUUUACCUCAAUUUAGAGCUCCUCCCGACUUGUUUUCAGCUUUUACUAAAAUCUGUCUCAUGCUGAAAUUUUGCGUAGUGCUGAAAUUCCAGCACCACACCCUCUCCUUUACAGCUUACUACAAGUAUGAAACAAAGACUUGUUUUGUUCACACUCCUUUAAAGUAAUUCUAGACCGCUUAACUCAGGAAAUAAGUAUCCAUCUCACCUAAAUUCCAAGCUCCAAAUUCGUUGCAGCUUGAAUUACCAAAGAAGCUCCACAGCAGGAAUCUCUAAGGCUGAAAUUCUGCACUAUGUGCAGAAUUUCAGCACUACUUCUUCUCCUUGUGCAGCCCCCUACAAGCAUAUAGCAACUAGUUUUACUUCUACAAAUACAUCAAUUGUUCCCUUUAAACCCAUUCUACAAUAAUUCCUAACAAUUUAAUCAGGAAUUGAUCAACAAUUUACCUUACCUUGAUUUAGUUACUUCUUCAAUUCUAUUCAGCUUUUACUAUCUCAAAAGCCUCAAAUCUCCAUUUGCAAUCUAAAAUUUCAGCAGCAAUGAAUCCUUUUAUGGAUCAAUUCUCUUUCAGCUCCAAUCUGAAAUUUCAGCAAGAAACUCUUAAUUGGAUCCAUUCUAAAGUAAGUACUUUGAUUGUAAUCCACUAUAGAAUGAACUUACAUUAAUUUGAUGCUGAAAUAGUUUGCUCACUGCAUCAAAUAAUCCUCCCCUUCAUUUCGGCAACACCAUCCACACCAAUCCAUCAAGCUGCCAGCACCAAAAGUUCAUAUAAACAUCUUUUCCUAGUUAACUUUUCUAAGCAUAAAUACUAAUCAAGAUUACCUUGAUUAGAUGUUGUUUCAGAUGAUUUAGCAACUCCAAUUAGCUCUUCUCUGCUGAAACCUCCAACUUGAAGGUUUAAUUCAGCUUGCUUCCAGGACAGCAUGCACUAGCAGUAAGGACUCCCAAUUUAGAUCACUUCGAAGGCAAUUAACUCAACUUAAAAUUAAGUAUUAAUCAACCUACCUUAAUUAGAGACCUUCCCCAGGUUACUUUCAGCUUUGAAGGCCUUCUCUGCUGCUCGAACAGCACCAACAAUUUCAGCUUUGCAUUCUUCAGCUGUAGCCCCAACUCGGCAGCUCCACAAGCUUAAUUUAGAUGCUCUAGUCAAGUGGUUCAGCAAUUCCAACAACAGAAAUUCCUGUCUGCAUCAGAUUUUCUUCUCAGCUCACAACCCUCCAAGCUGCCAACUCCAAUAUCCCCUCAACCCUCUCUUUACGUAGAGAGAAAAGGGAUAAGAAAAGAGAUAAAGAAGAGAGGGAAAUGAGAAUUCUGCUUUAGACAGGUGUAAUUCCACUAGGGUGAGAUGAUAAGUCCAGAAAAUACAGCUUAGCCCCUGAAAUUUGCAAAAGUGCAUUGCAACCUGCAGAUUUACAUUUCAGUCCCUGAAGGUUACAAUUCAGUCCAGCAGUCUCGCAAUUUAGUCCCUGCACUAACUAAAAUCUGGCAGCAGUUACUUUAAAGCCUAUUUCACUUAUCCAACUUGCUUCGAACACCUAUUAUCACUUUCAAAUUAUGCCAAAUGAACUUCCCAAGCUACCAAAUUAAUUUGAUAACAUCUAUUUCUCAGAUUUGCAUCAAUUUGAUCAUUUUGGAUCCAAUUAACUAGAAUUUCAGCACUCAAGUAACAAUGGCAAUUGGAGUUCUUUGUCACUUCAAUUCCAUUCGAGCCUACUCAUACACUUCCAAAACGUGUCAAUUGAUGUUCUCAAGCUUCUAAUUAAGUUUAGAAACCCUUAAUUUCCAUUUUAGCAUUAUUGUGAUCACUUUAAUCACAAUUAGCUUCUAAUCAAAUUUUCAAUCUAUUACAUUAGUAGUAAUGGACACUUCCUUACUUUCGCAUGAUUUGGGUAUUGGUUAGUUGAGCGCGGUUGCAAUAGCGUCGGUUUUAUUAACUUAUGCUUUAUGAUAUUGUAGUGACGUUGCCGACUACACGCUCCAAGUCUGUUGGAGCGGACAACAUGGCAACUUUUGAGGAAGCAGAGACAUCCGCUACCUCCGGAUCCAGCGAGAUCCGUGAGUUAAGGAGCCAGCUUGCGGCCUCACUGACUUUGUCAUCCAGCAGGUGGCGGCAGCUCGGCAACAGACUGAUGCGGCACGCCGGCAGAAGGCACGGAUGAAGCGGCUCGAGGAUCUUCUACUACAGCAGACGGCUGUCAGGGAGGCUCAGGCCUCUACACCACCCAUACCAGUGGAGGCGGUUGCACCCAGGGGGUCGUCCCCUGCGCUCGACACUUCGCGGAUGACACCUGUGGUAGCACCUCAGGAGGAGGUUAUUUCGGCAGCACCAGCUCAAGUGCCUUUGGCAGGGGCAGUUUUCCCCGUGAUGGUUGAGGGAGAAGAGCGGGAGCGGCUCAUGGAUCGCCUCAACGAGUUCAGGAGGUAUAGCCCCAAGAUCUUCGAUGGAGAGAAAGCUGGCCACUGGAUCGUAGAGAAGUGGUUUAUGCAUAUGGAGAAGCUUUUUCGCGACGCGUUCAUGGAGGAGAGAGACAGAGUUUGGCUCACUACUCACCAUUUGGACGGCGAGGCCUAUAGUUGAUGGUUGGGUACCCAGGAUAAUCCCUACACCGAGCUUGUGGCGAUUUCGUGGAAGAGGUUCAAGGAACUUCUGCUGGAGCACUACUUCCCCGACAGUGUCAAGAGGAAGAUGGAGCAGGAUCUACGCGGUAUGCGCCAGGAGGACCGGACUGUGGCCGAGUACGAGAGGGAGUUCUCUCAGCUUUUGCACUGUGUGCCUUUUGUUGUGCGAGACGACGAGGACAAGGCACGUAUCUUCGAGUGAGAACUUCGACUGUCGGUCUCUCGGUUGGUGCAAUCCUCCAACCUUCAGACUUACCGAGACGUGGUAAACCGUGCGCUAAUCUUGGAGAGCGGCACGACGGAUUUGCAGGAGCGUCGAGAAGGCUUGGACAAAGGAAAGGGCAAGAGGCCUGCGGCUGAGGGUGCGAGUCAGACGCACUCACGGAGGCCACCAAGGCAUCCCAGGAGCAGGAGCCAGUCGCGAGGACGUGGCUCGUCUGCACUGCAUGGAUGAUUUGAGCGUCGCCAGGCUCCGAGCUGCGUGAUCUGCGGUGGUCGUCAUUACACACGGUAGUGCUCACAGAGUCGGGGCAUGUGCUACUUAUGUGGCCAGGAGGGUCACUUCCAGUCGGAUUGCCCGAGGGGUUCAGUACCAGCACUAUCUUCAGUAUCGGCAUCAGCUUUACCGGGUCCCAGCCAGGGGACACUUUCUGCUCAUUACCAGGCCGGGCGGCCACCUGUCCUGAGACAAAUGGAGGGGUCACGACAGGCCCCGAGUGGGCGCAUGUAUGUGGCCCAGGCCGCAGAGGCGGCAGCUGCCGAGUUUGUGGCUAUAGGUAUCUGUUGUUUUGUGGCAUUCGAGUUGUGCAUUGUUUGAUACUGGUGCUUCGCAUCCAUCCUUUGAUCAGCUAUUUGCCGAGUUGCAUGGCAUUCCGUUAGUUCGCUGUUUGCGAUGACUAUUAGCACCUCUCGAGCUAGGCAGUUGAUUUGCAGGUUUGUGGGUAGCAUGUUUUGCUAUGCUUUAUGGAUCUCACGAUGAUUGCAUUAGUUGCAUCCCUCGAUCGGCUGUUCGCCGGAUAGGGCUUGGGGACGACGCGUGCCUGGACCACUUGUGGAGCCUGGGCCCUUUGGGCAGGCACAGACAGCUGUGAGUGACAGCGGCUCGGUACUUAUGGGUAGGACAGAGUUUUGGUCAGGACGGUAGUCCGAGCUUAGACCUGGGAGCGUGGAAUGCCACGUGUUGGAUCUUGAGAUCGAGGAUACACCGAGUGUGUAGGGACCCAACCCGAGGAGUUGCUAGCAUUGAUCCUUUUUUAUGCAUGUGGGAUGAUCGGUUGAUCGAGUGUGUUGUUUUGAACACCCUGCCUUGUAAAAGGGUUUUGUGCGCCAACAAAUGGAUUGGCCUUACUUGGUGUGGAGUUCUGUGGGGUACCUUUUACCUUUAGUCUUGCGAGCUGACUUGACUCACCUUGGGAGUUUGUGCACGAAAUAGUGCCUAUUAAGAAUUUAGUCCGCCGAGGGUGACGAUUACCUCCUUACCUAAAAUUGGGUAAGUGUCAGAGAGGAUUUGGGGCCUAUUUGGCCGGUAGCUUGUGAUGAUCGAGAAUCCUCGAAAUGACGGAUGUCUUUUGAGUUGUCGUUGUAUCUCCCGAUUGAGUCUCAAAUCGUGAGCUCGUUUGGCGGGGAGGUUUUUGUAUCUAGUGUUUCGCUUCGUGGAGAAGUGCCCUCACUUGUCGUGGGACCAGUUGGGACGUUUCGACUGUAUGUCGACCAUCGUGAUCUAAAUUGAACCAUGAUCGGGUGUUUGGACCGUUGUAGAGGCUCAUUGACCUUGUCAAAUGUUCUUGAGUUGUAGGUGUACUCGUUGAGAUUGUAAUGAAAUCUGAGUAGUACCUUUUCAUGUUGGAGUUUAAGGCUGUACCUCAAACGGAAUUCUGAUGCUGGGCUAGGACACCACAAAGAUUAUUGUGAUGUUGUCUCAGCCUGUAGUACUCCACCAGUGUUAGGGACUUGCUGAAUGAUGAUUCCAAGCCUUUGGAUGGAUUUGUGGAAUCGGUCGCUGAUGGCCAGGAGUAUCCUGUUGAUGAUUGGCGAAGGUUGACGGCGAAGGCAGAUUGAUGUGAUCGAAAUGUGGAACUCUCACUGCUGGAUUGAGCGGUUGGAGAAUUCGAGAGGAAGAUUACCAAGUUGCUAUCUUCCCUUAUCUAGAUCAUGUACAAGGAAUUAAGUUCUUUGGGAUAGAACUGCAUACAAGGGCUUAUGGACUUGGCGUUUGGUUGAUAGUCACAUCUUGAUGACAUUGAUAGAGCGCUAUUAUUGAAUUAUGGAUUGAUCCCCCUCUAUCACUUGAGUUGAACUCGGUGACUACGGACACCUAGAGCAUCCGAUGCUAAGGGAAGCAUUGAGAUUGAGAAUUUUGAGUGGUUAUGUUAUUAGACCUUCUAUCGUAGAUAAGCCCCUGGCUUAGGCUUACAAGAGUUUACUUGGGCUUCGAGAAGAGACUAAGGUGAUGACCUUAGUGGAAUGGUGAAGCUUCUGAGCAUGGGUUCACGACAAUAUGUAUGGAAAUGGAGUUGAGAGUAACCCCCUAGUGGUGAAUUGAGAUUGAUGUGGAGGCAUUGUAGUGCAAUGUCGAUUGAUGAACCAAGUAAUCACCCUUGGUGAGCGAAUUGGGAUGAUUCGUCGGUUCUCGUUCUUUUCGGCAGGGAUGUUACCAUGGAUAGUGAUCGUAGAACUGCUUCAUGCUAAUCAAGAUUGGAUGAAUGGUGGGAUGUUGCAAAUAGCAACAAGAUGGAAAAUUUACACCAUACUUAACCUUGGAAUAGGAUUGCACUCAGUGGUGCAAUCUAGUGAUGAGAUUUGAUCAUGGAUUUGAGUGAUCGUCGUUGGGAUUGAGUCGACGACGGGAUGUGGCAUCGCCUCCCUUUGGUGAGUGUUAAUCAGUUGAGUACCCUGGUAUGGUUUUGAUGGAUUGGGUAACGGGUGUAACCCCAAGAUUUUUCUAUGGAUGGCAUUGUUGAAUCCGCCUCAGAAGGAUAUCUGAUGGAAUUCCAUAUAUAAGAGUAAGUCAAAGCAGAGCUAGGCUUUGCCCUCGACUUGGAUGAGGAAAGUGAGAUCUAGACUUUAGCCUUCGGGAGCACGUGGGUUCGUGAGAACCAACUGAAGGGCUUGUCGAGCAAGCGCGGAUUUGAGAUAGAGUUCCUGGUUGCAGACCAUGUUUCCCUGAAGGUCUCACCGACCAGAGGGAUCAGGAGAUUCGGGAUUCGGGGAAAGUUGAGCCCCUGGUUUAUUGGACCGUAUGAGAUCUUGGAGCGUGUGGGCCUGGUAGCGUAUCGACUUGCUCUACCACCGAACUUAUCGGGCAUACAUGACAUCUUCCAUGUAUCGGUCCUUCGGAAGUGCAUCUUCGACCCGGCUCAUGUAUUGGAUGCUACACCUAUAGAGCUGCGGGAUGAUUUGACUUUUGAGGAGCAACCCGUGAGGAUCUUGGCUCGCGAAGUGCGGAAGCUGCGGAAUCGGAAUUUUUCAUAUGUGAAGGUUCUUUGGAGCAACCACGAGGAGCGAGAGGCCACCUUAAUCGAGAGGAGCUAGUAUAUCAGGCAUUUAAAAGCUCGCCCUUCGCGGCGACCAUGUCGGCGGCACGGGCGAGGAAAAUGAUAAAAGGCGGUUGUGAAGCCUAUUUGGCGACAAUGGUAGAAGCCCGGAAGGAGCGCCCGGAACAUAGUGGUAUUCGGGUGGCAUGUGAGUUUUCGGAUGUAUUUCCAGCGGAGUUACCGGGUUUGCCACUGGACCGGGAGAUCGAGUUCGUUAUUGACUUGGUGCCCGGGGCGGCUCCAAUUUCGAAGGCCCCGCAUAGAAUGGCACCGGCGGAGCUAAAGGAGCUCAAGACACAGUUGCAAGACUUGCUCGACAAAGGCUUUGUGAGGCCGAGCGCGUCACCCUGGGGAGCUCCGGUGCUAUUCGUUAAGAAGAAGGACGGCACAUUUCGACUCUACGUGGACCCUGGGGAGCUCCGGUGCUAUUCGUUAAGAAGAAGGACGGCACAUUUCGACUCUACGUGGAUUACCGUGAGUUGAACAAGGUUACAGUGAAGAAUAAGUACCCGUUGCCGAGGAUUGAUGACUUAUUCGAUCAGUUGCAAGGGUCAAGGGUAUAUUCAAAGAUUGAUCUUCAAUCGGGGUAUCAUCAGUUGAAGAUACGGCCCGAGAAUGUACAUAAACGGCUUACCGUACGCGGUAUGGCCAUUAUGAGUUUACGGUGAUGCCGUUUGGGCUUACUAACGCCGCCGCGGCAUUCAUGGACUUAAUGAAUAGAGUCUUCCGUCCGCUAUUAGACCGGUGCGUCGUGGUAUUCAUUGACGACGUAUUGGUAUAUUCUCGGACCGAGAAGGAACACGAGGAGCAUUUGAGGAUCGUGUUGGAAAUACUCCGAAAAGAGAAGUUAUAUGCCAAGUUGAAGAAAUGCGACUUUUGGCUAUCGGAGGUCACUUUCCUUUGUCAUGUAAUUUCGGGCGAUGGUAUCUCGGUGGACACGAAGAAAGUUGAGGCAAUUAGAGAUUGGCCUCGCCCGACGAGCGUAUCGGAGGUCCGCAGUUUUCUUAGGCUAGUGGGCUAUUACCGGCGGUUCGUGGAGGGGUUUGCUAAAAUAACUACUCCACUAACACGCCUUACACACAAAGCUGUAAAGUAUGUUUGGAGCCCCGAAUGCGAGCGGAGCUUCAAGGAAUUAAAAGAAAGAUUGACCACGACCCCGGUGCUUGCUCUACCGAUGCCGGGGGAGACAUUUGUGGUGUAUAGUGAUGCUUUCUAUGUUGAACUCGCGUGUGUCUUGAUGCAAAACGGGCGGGUUAUAGCAUAUGCUUCGCGCCAAUUGAAGACGUAUGAGAAAAACUACCCGAUCCACGAUUUGGAGUUAGCGGUGGUUAUUUUUUCGCUAAAAUUAUGGAGGCGUUACCUAUAUGGAGAACAUUGUGAGAUCUACAGGGAUCACAAAAGCCUUAAAUACUUGUUCACCCAAAAGGAGCUAAAUAUGCGGCAGCGGCGGUGGUUAGAAUUGUUAAAGGAUUAUGAUGUUACUAUUCUAUACCACCCCGGGAAAGCAAAUGUGGUGGCCGAUGCACUUAGUAGAAAAUCGGAAAAAAUUUAGCUUCGGCAAUUACACCCCAACCGUUGUUACAAAAGGAGAUGCAACGGCUUGGAUUGGAAGUAGUAACGCCGGGAGUGCCGGCUACACUUGCCCCAUUGGUGGUACAACCGACCUGGUUGGAGAGGAUCAAGGAGUUGCAAGCUUCCGAUGAGUAUCUCCAAAAGGUGCGCAGAGAAGUUGAGAGCGGUAGUGCCGAUGAUUUUGGCAUUGGGACCGACGGCACACUUCGAUUUCGGAACCGUUGGUGUGUGCCUAAGAACAAGGACGUACGCAAAGCAAUUAUGCAAUAGGCGCAUCAAUCUCCUUAUAGUAUACACCCGGGCGGCACCAAAAUGUACCAAGAUUUGAAAUUGCAUUAUUGGUGGCCGGACAUGAAGAAAGACAUUGGGGAGUUUGUUGCGCAAUGUCUUACUUGCCAACAAGUAAAAGCGGAGCGGCGGUUUCCGGCGAGAAAGUUGCAAAGUUUACCUAUACCCGUUUGGAAAUGGAAAAAUAUCACAAUGGACUUCGUGACCGGGUUGCCUCUAUCUCAGGGUGGACAUUAUGUAAUUUGGGUGAUAAGACCGGUUGACGAAGUCGGCACAUUUCCUACCGAUUCAUGUUACUUGGUCGGGGGACAAGUUGGCUGAACUAUAUAUCGACGAGGUUGUGAGACUUCACGGGGUACCAGUUUCUAUUAUAUCAGAUUGGGACCCGAUAUUCACAUCUCAUUUUUGGAGGAGUCUACAGGAGGCCUUAGGCACACGGCUCGACUUUAGCACGACAUUUCAUCCUCAAAGUGAUGGUCAGUCGGAAAAGACGAUACAAAUACUUGAGAAUAUGCUCCGAGCGUGUAUAUUGGACUACAAGGGCAGUUGGCACGAUCAUCUACCAAUGGCGGAGUUCGCGUACAAUAACAGCUACCAAGAGAGUAUCGCGAUGGCACCAUUCGAGGCCCUUUAUGGAAAGAAAUGUCGCUCUCCAAUCCAUUGGAGCGAUGUGGACUAGAGAGCGGCUCUCGGCCCCGAUGUAGUGCGGGAGGCAGAGGAGAAGGUUCGCCUCGCCCGCCAACGACUGACUACGGCGCAUCCCGGCAAAAAAACUAUGCCGAUAAACGGAGAUAAGACAUAGAGUUCGCAGUUGGUGACCACGUCUUUCUAAAAGUAUCGCCGAUGCGGGGAAUUAGACGGUUUGGGCUCCGUGGAAAGUUAAGUCCCCGGUACCUUGCACCGUUUGAGGUAUUGGAGCGGGUCGGCGCGGUGGCAUACAAGAUAGCAUUACUACUGAGGCUUGCGGGAGUACACGACGUGUUCCAUCUAUCGAAUCUCCGCAAGUACAUUCAUGACCCCAAGCAUAUCCUAUCGUUUGAAUCAUCCGAGGUCCAAGAGGACAUGACCUAUGAGGAGUUCCCAGCAUACAUCAUCGAUCGAGAAGUAAAAAAACUACGAAAUCGUGAGAUUCCGUAUGUUAAGAUUCGUUCGUGCAAUCACGAUGAUCGAGAAGCUACCUAGGAGCUCGAGAGCGCAAUGCAAGAGCAUUAUCCUCACCUCUUUACCGAGCUGAAUUGAUGUAUGAGUUUAAGUCUAAAUUAAGUAAGUUUCGCGGACGAAACUAAAUUUGAGGGGUGGAGAAUGUAACAUACCGAAAUCUCGGAAAUUAAAUUCGAAACUUAGUCAAAUUGGCCAAAGUGCGAGGUUGGUAUGCUUCGGAGAGGCCGGAGGCAUCAAAUAAUGAAAAAAUGCAUUACGGGGGACCUUCGAGAGCUUUAGAAAUCAAAAUCUACAAACUGCAGGUUUUGUGCUCUCUGGGACCGGUCCCUGGUGGGAGAGGCCGGUCCUCGAACGAGUAGGCAGCACGAAGGCCGAGAAAUCGGCUAAGUUCUCGAAAACCAGCUCUCGGGAACCGGUCCUUGCGAGGAAAGACCGGUCCCCAGAGACCGGUCCCAUCGAGGGAGACCGGUUGCGUCGCGCGCGGCCUACGCAGUCCGCGGGAGAAGCUCUCGGGGACCGGUCCCAGGUCGGGGAGACCGGUCCCUGAAUGUGAAAAAUGCCCAGUCUGGGCAGUGCACUGGGAAUAAAGUGGAGGGGUCUUGUUGUAAAUGUUACAGCACCUUAUAUACUCAACCCUUCUCCCUUUUCUCAGCCAAAACCCUCACUCCUCUCAUUUCCUCUCCGCUCUCUCUAGAACUCACCUAGGGGUUAAAGAAGAAGAAGAAGAAGAAGAAGCUUGAGCAGGGAUUUUUGGUGGACUUGGUGGGUCUAGAAGCUCUCCAACAAGAGGGAGAUUGCUAGAACUUGUGUAACAAACCAGAUCUUGGUAUAAAAAUAAAAAUAAAUAAAAAUAGUGUGAGAUACUAUUUUUAUUGGAUUUAGAAAAGUAAAACAUAAGUCAGAAGUGACUUGUGCUGAAAUCGGAAUGAAAACAGAAGAUUUAGAAUUUUCUGUUGGAAACAGGACAGAUAAAUUAGCAGAAAAUGCAUAGUGUCAAAAAAUUAUAAAAACUAGAGGAUAAGUCUGGAUUAUUUUUAUGAGGCUAGAUUUAAAGUUUCAUGUAAUUCUGACACCCGGAAGGUGGAAAAUAAAAUCCGACAACUAUCUGAUAAAGAUUACAGUUCGGUACAGUUUUCGGUGACCAAACGGGGUCGAAACUGAAAUAUUAAAAUUUCUUUGGACUCGUUAAGUAAAACCGAACAUGACUGUCAAAUUUGAGCUCAAACGGAUAUUCAGGGAGCUCCGGCGAAAGAUAUUAGAUUUCGAGCUGACCGGAGAUAAAUAGUGUAUUGUUGAGGGGUCGAAACUGAAAUAUUAAAAUUUCUUUGGACUCGUUAAGUAAAACCGAACAUGACUGUCAAAUUUGAGCUCAAACGGAUAUUUAGGGAGCUCCGGCGAAAGAUAUCAAAUUUCGAGCUGCCCGGAGAUAAAUAGUGUAUUAUUAGGGGGCUUUGUGUAAAAUCUGCACUAGUCUUCUUCUUCUCCUCAACCAUAUGCAGCCACACACACACACACUCACACGCAUACAUGGAGGGAGAGAGAAACCUCCCUUUCUCUCUCUAGAUCUCUCCCAAAAUUGAAGGUUUUGGUGGCGAAGCAAGCUUGGAAGUUGAUCUUCAUUUUCUUCGUCUUCUUCCUCUCCAUUGGAGCUAGCUUGAUAGGUAAGCUUUGAUGCCCUUUAAUGGUAGAAUUGUAGGGCUUCAAUUAUAUGCUCCAAGAAUGGAUUUAGUGGAACUCCUAGAUGCUAAAUAGAGGAUUAAUGCUUAAAUCAUGAAGCUAUAUGGUGAUUUCUUGCAUAGUUGUAACCUAGGGCUCCAAAAUGCAAUUUUUGCAUGUAGAUGGGUUUGAUCUAAAUUGAACCUAUAUAAACCUAAUUGCUAGGUAAAUGAACGCGUUGGCGAAGUCGGUUCGGCGAUUCGUCGAGCCGUUGUAAAGAUAUUAAAGAAACGGAUGUUUAGGCUUCGUUUCUGCCUGGAGGGCCGAGGCGACAUCGUAAAGUCAUGAAACGGAUUUGGAGUAUCGUGGCACAUAACCGAAGACCUAUAAUUUUCGGAGCCACGAUUCGACGCACGGUUGGUGAGUAUUAGCGAAAUCGGGCCGAACCGGACACGGGUGCCACGGGAGGCUGAUUGCAAGUGUCGACAAGCAAUCGGAAAGCGAUUUGAGGUGAGUUGUACUUACCGAAGCGACUAGGUCGCCUGUAUGUCUAAGUAAAGUGAAUUCAUGUUGAUGCAUAUAAAUGCUUGAUGGAUGCAUGUAGUAAAUGCUAAAAGGAAUGCAUACUAAAGAUGUAAUAUAGAAAUGCUAGAAUGCAUGAUGAUGUAAUAUAAAUGCAUGUUAAUUAUCUAAAGUAAGAUACUAAGAGAUUGUACAUGAAGUGACAUAAUGUAAGAAUGCUAAAUAAAUGGAUGAAUGAUGUGGUAUAGAAAUGCUAGAAUAUAUGCAUUGGUUAAUAUUAGUUGAAUGCAUGUCAUGGAAAUGCUAAAUGUAAACAUGGGGCCAAUACUAAGACAUACUUGAUGAUCAUGUUGUAGAGAUACUAAUGUUAAGUAAAGGAUAUGGGCGUGUGGACAUAUAUAUAUGCACAUAGAUCGAGUGGCAUUGAACAUAGUGUUUUGAACAUAGGUUGAACAUGAAUGAUAUGAACCUAGUGUUAGUAAACCUAGGUCGGACAUGAAGGACAUAUGAACCUAGUGUGAAUAUACAUAGGUUGGACAUCAAGUGGCAUUGAACCUAGUAUUAAAGAAUAUAGGUUGGAAUCAUGUGUGGCAUUUAAUCUAGCGUUAAAGAACAUAGGUUGGACAUGAACUUAGUGUUAAAGAAAGUAGUUAAACAAGGUUUAACCCAAAGUGACAUUGUGGCUUGGUAUUAGCGGUAUAUGCAUGAUUAGGUAAAAACCUAUCAUUGGCAUUGAGGCAUAGAGAUAUGGAACAGGUUGGCUGUACCUCAUCAAAUUGAGGAUGGGAUCAUACUCACAUGUAUCGGUUCCGGCUUGUGCGAGGUCGCUCCUCUACAAGCGGUGCACUCCGGAGUAUAGACACCACGGGUGAGAGUGCCCGGCGAAGAUCCCUCGGGUGAUAGUGCCUUGUGCUUUCCCCGGUAGACUGGAUGGAUCCCUCGGGGGCAUUUUCCAAUGCUAAUCUCGGUAGAUGGGACAUGUGAGAUGUGAGCUUGGGUCGAACUUGAUGAACCCCGGAAAAAUUGGGUAAAGGCCAAAGUGAAUAUGUGAAAGUAUGCAUUAUGAGCUAUGGAUUUGGUAUUCCAGUUGAGUGGAUUUAUGGCUGAGGUGCAUGUGGGACGUCCUUCACCUCGAGCCUGGAUGCAUGCGGUAAUCCGCAGAUGAUUGACUCGAGACCGAGUCGGGUGGUUAGCUUGGCUAGGGUAGAGGAAAACCUUAGGAGCAAAUAACCAAUGAUGUAAAGUGACAAAAUGUAUAAAUUAUGGAAAAGCUAUGGAUAGCAUGAUAGAAAGUAAAAUCAUUUAUUUUACUUGUAUAGUUGCAUGGUUUCAUAUUACAUAUCGCGAGGCAUGACAUGUAGUUCAAUAUCGAAUAAAUGUUUAAAUAUCUGUUAUAUGUUAUUGGGCUAACCUGUUGUAGUGCCUCAUUAGACCUAUUGGUUGAGCUUUUCCCUUGGGUGGCCGUACCCACUGGGAACCAUAGAGUUGGUUCUCACCCCAUGUUGUUUUGGGCUGUUAUAGGUUCACACGUGAGCGGCGCGGCGGCGCGAGGCAAGGGCGUAGCUCCGUAGUUAGCGCCCUACUACCGAGACCAGAGAUAGUGGUACCCUGAGUCGGCUACUUAGGGAUGUAAGAAAUGAAAUGAAUAAUAUUGUAAUAAUUUGUAAUAAGCAUGAUUGUAUUUGGAAGUUAAAUGUAAUAUGUAAUUGUGAUGUAAAAUGUAUUUAGUGAAUGUGAAUGCUUGUAAUAACAAGUAAAUUAUAUUUUUGAUACUUCCUUAUGCAAUCUUUGUUUCAAAUGUGUUCCUGGUUGGAACUUCGUACAUUGUAUUGAUUGCGACGUCUUGGACGUACAAGGGAGACUCUGUCCGCGGUACAGGGGAAGCUCUGUCCGUUCGGCGGUCUGUUGGCGUGCCCGAAACCGACCAAAUAGGCGGGCUCUGGGUGUGACAACUUGGGCCAAGGUAAGUUUUUAGCAUGUAAAGCUCUAGGGUUUGGAUUUUAAAGUUAGGUUUUGGAGUUUUGGUCUCUUUAGAGGCUUUAGAAGAGUAGUAGAGCCUUGAACACCAUGAAACUCUAGUUUUCUUCAUGGUGCUCUAAUGGGGGAUUUCUAGGGUGUGCAUUCUAAGCCCUAGAGAUGGUUAGGAUGGUUCUAAAUGAGCUUCUAGAGGUUAAACAAGCUCUCUUUUGCUUGUUUUAGAGAUCAAAACCUAGGGUUUAGCAAUGGGUUUGGUUAGGGCACCAAAUUUAGGGCUUUUACCCUAGGAUUUUUUGAGUACGAAUUGACCUCGUAGAAACCUAAUUGGGACUGUCCUCGACGCGUUGGACAACUCCGCUCGACGUUACGAAAAUGUUUAAGUAUGGUUCAUGUACAAAAGGCCUAAUAUGGCACUAUUUUGGUUAUAGGACGCAGGAUCGGCUUUCGUAAAGUUCCGGAGUCGUCAUAUUCUACACCCACACGACCACUCGAGGUGGGUGGUGCAUUCUAAGGACCUCGAAAAUCCCUUUAUGUCUAAAGUGUCAUGUUUGAACAUAUAUGUAUAUAUUGAGCAUGUUGCAUAGUAGGGUUAAUUGUGAACUUAAUUUUGUAUGGAAUACUUGUAAGAAUGUGAGAAUAAACCCUAUUUAUGCAUGACAAGUGACAAGAACCUAGAAGGUUCGUGAACAAAAGUGACACAUGGACUAAGAUUAAGAGAAUGACAUUGAUGAGUAUAGAACACUUAGAAAACAAGUGUUGCAUUUGGCAUGAGAACGAGAACAUAACACUUAGAAAACAAGUGUGGCAUGAGUCCAAGAAUAUAGUAGUGUAUAUGACACAAGUGAUGAUAAAGAAUGCUUAUGACAUUUUCAACCUUAGAGUUAAGGGUCAUUUGAGUAUGGUCUUCCUUACAAUUAAGGAAUGGAUUGAACUUUGAAUCCUCAAUGUAGGAUUGAUCGUACUCACCUUUAGUCCUUGCUCGAGGGUGGUAGCUCCCCCUCGGGUGAUGUGCUCCGGAGUCGACAUCACUGGGUAGUAGCGGGUAUCUCUCCAGAGGACGGUCCUAUCAGGUUGUAGCGGAUAUCUCCCCGGUUAAUAAGAUUUUGGGUUGGUGAGUUUGCUGAGGGCGAAACCUACGGGUUAGCCAAGAGAUUGGGUAAAGAAAUUAUGAUCCUGCAUUCAUCAUGAGCAUUAAAUCGAGGAUCGCAUUUUAUAUUGUUCAGGCAUAUCAGUUGCAUUUGUUAGUUGGUUACUUUUUUUCUUCUAUUCUAUUAUGCCUUAUUAGACCUAGUGGGAUAGUCGGCGUGGUUGGUUGCCGAACCCACUGGAAACUUUGUUGUAAUUCUCACACCCCUAUUUUCACAGAGCCGGCACCGAGCGAGCCGGCACACGACCGCGGUAAGGGCAUCGCGCCUUAGGUAGAGACCGCCUGAGAUGUUUUAUUUCUUAGUUGCAUACCCUUUUGAUAUAUCAUCUUUUGUAUUUCGAUGAUUAUAGUUGUUAAAUGAAAGGACAUGAAUGAUGUAAAAGAGUUUAUUUAAUAUCAAUAUUAUAUUUUGGAGGAAUGAGAUGUAAAAAGAAAUGAUGCAAAAUUAUAAUUGAUUUCCUAACUGUAGUUAUUUACUUUCACUAUUGGCUAUUGCUUGCCCUCGUGCAAGCCAUUGUGUAUGCUUCCGCUCAUGCAAACUUUAUACUCUAUUGAUACUUGUUGUUGAGCCUUGGGCGGACGGGGGAGGUUCUGUCCGUUCGGCGUCUGUUCGACGCUCUCGAACCGGCCAAAAGGAUCGGGCUUGGGGCGUGACAGAUAAGAUGGUAUCAGGGCGUAAGAGCCAAAAAAGGUGAAAGCAUAGGAUGGACCUAGAGACCCUUAGGAAUGAAAAACCUUAAGGAUCUCGAAAACGUGAGUGAUGCUGAAUAAGUUAUAGCGAAGGCAUGGAUUGGGUUGAUGUAAUUAUGUCUCUAAUGUGGUUAGGGACUAAACUUAAGUUGUUAUUUGUUUUCUUUUCCUUGUGUUGUGAUCGACGGCCGACGACAUGAUGCUUUGGAAUGAAAAUGAAUACACUUAUAUGCUUUCGUCGGAUUGGGUAUAAUCGAGUACGUUGUCUAUGUAACUGACGUGAAUUGCUUCGUUUCAGGAAGCAAUGCCUCAUCGUGGACGACCUAAGCUACCUUGUGGUUGACCGCGGACGAGGUAUAUAGCCGAGGAGUCAAGUACGGCUCCCGUGCAACCCGAACCAGGUGGCGACGGGAAGCUUCGGGAGCAGAUGGCUGCGCUUAUUGGCGUAGUGCGACAGUAGGCGGAAUCCGUUCAGCGCCAGGCGAAAUCCGUUCAGCGCCAACGAGAGCAAAUCCAAAGGCUCCAUGAGGCUUUGGAGCGGCAGCGGGUGGCGGCGGCGGCGCCCGUGGAGGCCGUGCACCCUGCGCCUCCUGUAGUGGUGCUGAGUGCCGCCGAGGGUGUGGCCGCGGCGGCCGUGCCAGUUACGAUGGUGCCGGCUGGAUCGGGGACCUCAAACCUCGAUAGUGCGGCGGAGGCGGCGGAGGAGGCGGAGCGAGAGCACGCGUUGGCGGCUCUCAUUCAGUUUCAGAAGUUCAACCCACCCACCUUCGAAGGGGGAGUGGUGGAACCGGCGGUGGUGGAGUCCCGGAUCGACUCCAUGGAAACACUUUUUGAGGAUCUUAACACCUUGGAGAAGGACAAGGUGCACCUCGCCACACAUUGCCUUGAGAAGAAAGCGAAGGUGUGGUGGAAGCGUGUUAGGCGGGAUCGAUCGCCCGAUCUUCUGCCUAUGUUGUGGGAGGAGUUCCGGAGGGCGGUGUUCGCCAACUACUUCCCCGAUACGGUGAAGCGAAAGUUGCAAGAGAAAUUCCGCAAGUUGAGGCAAGGAGAUCGCUCGGUGACAGACUACGAGCAGGAGUUCUCCCACCUCAUUGACUGCGUCCCGGACGUUGUUAGGGAUGAUCGCGACCGAGCAGACUGGUUCCUACGAGGAUUGCGGCUAGGGAUUCAUAGGGCCGUGCAAAUCCUUAAGCUCACAACCUUUGCGAAGGUCUUUGAUCGGGCUUUGUGGGCGGAGCAUGGUUAUGCCCACGAGCGCGAUGAGCGCUACUCCGCGGCCGAGGCAAAGGAGAAUAGCAAGAAGCGGUCGGCGGGUGGCACCGGAGGCCGACCAAAUGCUAAAAAACCCCCUUGGUAUCCCCGACAGCAGCCGAGGAGUUGGAGGCCAUCCCGUUGUGUUAUUUGCGGUGGUAACCAUCAACCGCCGUCAUAUCCGCAGCGGGAGGGAAAGUGCUUCAAGUGUGGAUAACCUGGGCAUGUGUCACGAGAGUGCCCUAGCUGGGGUUCAUCUGCACCGACCUCGGCAUCAGUUCCUUAUACCCCGAGGCAGCAGGUGGGAUUACCGCCGGCUAUGUCGGCUGGACGCUCGUCUUCAUCGCUUCAGCCGGAGGCAUCGAGGGCACCGAGUGGGCGGGUCUUUGCCACUCAGGUGGAGGAGGAGCCGAUUCCUGUCCCUGACGACAUCGUGGCAGGUAUUAUCUCGAUCAGAGGCACUACAGCAAGAACUUUAUUCGACACUAGUGCAUCACAUUCAUUUAUAGAUGCAUCAUUCGCUAGGACUCAUGGCAUUAAGAUUGUGCAUCAUUAUGACUAUUGGACGGUGAAUUCGGUCGAGCAUACCUUCUAUGUUCACGAAGAGUGUGUAGCGUGUCCAGUGCAGAUAGGUGAUUGGGUCAUGCCGAUUGACCUGUUGGUGUUGAAUCGAAUGUGGGGGUUUGACGUGAUCUUGGGGACCGACUGGCUCUCCAAGUAUUAUGCCGUGAUAGAUUGCGAAAGUAAGGUGAUCACAUUUCGUGAGCCUAAUCGAAAUGAGCUAGUAUAUCAGGCGUCUAAAAGCUCGCUCUUCGCGGCGACCGUGUCGGCGGCACGGGCGAGGAAAAUGAUAAAAGGCGGUUGUGAAGCCUAUUUGGCGACAAUGGUAGAAGCUCGGAAGGAGCGCCGGGGACUUAGUGGUAUUUGGGUAGCAUGUGAGUUUCCGGAUGUAUUUCCGGCGGAGUUACCGGGUUUGCCACCGGACCGGGAGAUCGAGUUCGUUAUUGACUUGGUGCCCGGGGCGGCUCCAAUUUCGAAGGCCCCGUAUAGAAUGGCACUGGCAGAGCUAAAGGAGCUCAAGGCACAGUUGCAAGACUUGCUCGACAAAGACUUUGUGAGGCCGAGUGCGUCACCCUGGGGAGCUCCGAUGCUAUACGUGAAGAAGAAGGACGGCACAUUUCGACUCUGCGUGGAUUACCGCGAGUUGAACAAGGUUACAGUGAAGAAUAAGUACCCGUUGCCGAGGACUGAUGACUUAUUCGAUCAGUUGCAAGGGUCAAGGGUAUAUUCAAAGAUUGAUCUUCAAUCGGGGUAUCAUCAGUUGAAGAUACGGCCCGAGGAUGUGCGUAAGACGGCUUACCGUACGCGGUAUGGCCAUUAUGAGUUCACGGUGAUGCCGUUUAGGCUUACUAACGCCCCAGCGGCAUUCAUGGACUUAAUGAAUAGAGUCUUUCGUCCGCUAUUGGACUGGUGCGUCGUGGUAUUCAUUGACGACGUAUUGGUAUAUUCUCAGACCGAGGAGGAACACGAGGAGCAUUUGAGGACCGUAUUGGAAAUACUCCGAAAAGAGAAGUUAUAUGCCAAGUUGAAGAAAUGCGACUUUUGGCUAUCGGAGGUCACUUUUCUUAGUCAUGUAAUUUCGGGCGAUGGUAUCUCGAUGGACCCGAAGAAAGUUGAGGCAAUUAGAGAUUGGCCUCGCCCGACGAGCGUAUCGAAGGUCCGCAGUUUCCUUGGGCUAGCGGGCUAUUACCGGCGGUUCGUUGAGGGGUUUGCUAAAAUAACUACUCUACUAACACGCCUUACACACAAAGGGGUGAAGUAUGUUUGGAGCCCUGAAUGCGAGCGGAGCUCCGAGGAAUUAAAAGAAAGAUUGACCACAACCCCGGUGCUUGCUCUAUCGAUGCCGGGGGAGACAUUUGUGGUGUAUAGUGAUGCUUCCUAUGUUGGACUCGGGUGUGUCUUGAUGCAAAACGGGCGGGCUAUAGCAUAUGCUUCGCGCCAAUUGAAGACGUAUGAGAAAAACUACCCGAUCCACAAUCUGGAGUUAGCGGCGGUUAUUUUCGCGCUAAAAUUAUGGAGGCAUUACCUAUAUGGGGAACAUUGUGAGAUCUACACGGAUCACAAAAGCCUUAAAUACUUGUUCACCCAAAAGGAGCUAAAUAUGCGGCAGUGGCGGUGGUUAGAAUUGUUGAAGGAUUAUGAUGUUACUAUUCUAUACCACCCCGGGAAAGCAAAUGUUGUGGCCGAUGCACUUAGUAAAAAAUCAGGGAAAAAUUUCGCUUUUGCAAUUACGCCCCAACCGUUGUUACAAAAGGAGAUGCAACGGCUUGGAUUGGAAGUAGUAGCGCCGGGACUGCCGGCUACACUUGCCGCGUUGGUGAUAUAACCGACCUUGUUAGAGAGGAUCAAGGAGUUGCAAGCUUCCAAUGAGUAUCUCCAAAAGGUGCGCGGAGAAGUUUAGAGCGGUAGUGCCGAUGAUUUUGGCACACUUCGAUUUUGAAACCGUUGGUGUGUGCCUAAGAAUAAGGACGUCCGCAAAGCAAUUAUGCAAGAGGCGCAUCAAUCUCCUUAUAGUAUACACCCGGGCGGCACCAAAAUGUACCAAGAUUUGAAAUUGCAUUAUUGGUGGCCGGGCAUGAAGAAAGACAUUGGGGAGUUUGUUGCGUAAUGUUUGGAGCUUCAUUUGAGGUUAGUAAGCUUAAAUCCCCCUUUGAUCCAUGUUUUAGCAAGUGUUACUUGUGGAAACCCUAGAUUGAGCAUAUUAGGGUUAGUAAUGGAGAUUUUUGACUUGAGGCUUUUUUUAUCUCAAUUGAUGGGCUUAGAACCUUUGUUUAGGUUGGUUUAGAAGGACUCUAACUCCCUUUUGGAGAUCGAGAGAGUUUACUUCGCAUUCGAUGAGUUUUCGCCCUAUUGCUUAAGUUGGUUAAUGAUCGAUCUCAGGAUUGUUCGUAACUUUCGUGUAUUUCUCUUUUCCUUACCUUUAGGAUGCUAGGAGAGUAGUGGGCAACUUUGUUCGGCGAAACGAAGGGUUGCGAGAGUCACGGUGGGUUUGACUUCAUGGAAUAGGGGAGAAAUGUCUCCUAUGUGAUUUGUACUUGUCGUCUCAUCGAAAUGCAUGCAUAUUUAUGCUAGAUAGGAUUUUUAUGAAUUUUAGAAUACUUAAAAUACAUGUGUUAUGUAUCAUAAAAAUUCAACUCUAUAUAGUAGAGCCAUAUGUGUAUUAUGCAUGCAUGUGAAAAGUAUUCUUAUUGCAAGUUGGAAAUAUGUCUCAUGUGAGAAAAAUGACUAGAAUUAUGUACUCUUGAAUAUAAAACUCAUGCUUGGACUUAGCGGACAAACAUGCCAUAUAGGGGCACCCGAACUAGUAAACUGUGAAAUUGCAACAUAGGGACAUAGUGAUAGGCAUUGUGACAUCGACUAUAUUUCAUGAUUUAGACAUGAUGACAUAGUGAUUGGCCAUUGAGAUACUUGCUACAUUCCAUAUUUUAGACAUGAUGACAUAGUGAUAGGCUAUUGAGAUACUUGGUACAUUCCAUGUUUUAGACUUGAUGACUUGGGACUUGAGACGAACUUUUACGCUUGCUUGCCAUUGUGCUCAUUCGCACAUGCUUAUGAGGGUCGCCUCCCACAAGCCGGCACUCCGGAGAUAGCCAUCGCGACACAUGCUCGCCCGUUAGUUGUUUAUGGUUCAUAUCAUACUUGUGCUUACCCUUUCAGCUUUUGGGCCUAGUGGUGCAUUUCACUGAAGUCAGUAAUUGUCCACUGGGAACCAUUAUUUAAUAGUUCUCACGCCCUCUGUUUUACGGUUUUCUUUCAGAGCUUUCAGCACUGGUGGAGGCACGGAAUAGCGGAAGGGGGUCGCACUUGCUUUUGCUCUUAGGUGGCUUACUCUCUUUUUGUUUGCUGUAGAGAGAGUGAGAGGUUUUGGUACCAUGUAUAGAGACCACCAUUGUAUUACUCUUAGCACUUGUAUGUGAAUUUCGGAUGUAUUACCUUAUGGUUUUAUUUUGGUAGAAUUUAGUCUCUAGUCUACUCUUUUGUUGUAGAAUCUAGUUGUACUAUGCUCUGAUACUCCUAUAUAUCCUUCUUCUAUUGCUUUAUUUAUUGUUUUAUUAUAGAUGCCUUACAUGUUUUAGACGUAUAGCGGGCCUGGGCACGCACCGGGCGAGCCUCCACUGGGUCCCGAGUCGUGACAAUAAUAUUGAAGUUCUAACCAUUAUUCACAUGCCAUGCAACUACCCUAUGAUGCAUGCAUGACACUAUUCACAUAUAUGCUCAAUAAAAGGUAAUAUAGACUUAGAAGGGAAUCCAACGAUUCCGGAAGGCACCCCCCAUCUUGGAUAGUUGUAUGGAUGCUACGGUUCAAUUCUUGAAAUAUUUGAACGCCUAUCCCGCGUGCUACGGCUAUCUGUACCAAAAACGGCAUUUUUGUCAAUUUCUUCACGUACACUCGUCGGAUUGUGGAACCGAGCGCACCAACGCGUUCUUUAUACCCCCAAUUAGGUUUCUAUAAGGUUAGUUUGCUUUUAAACCAACCUUGAACAAAAGCCCUAAUUUGGAGCCCUAACAUUGUCAUAUUGCUAGAUUUCUUGGAUUGAUCUUGAAGCUAAGCAAAAACAAGCUUAGAACCAUCCAAGAAGCUUUCUAAUACCAUUUCCAACUCAUUUGAACCAUCUUAGGGCAUCUAAAGCUAACCCUAGAAGUUCAUCAUGAGAGCACAUGAAGCUUCCAUGGAUUUCAUGGUGUUCAUGACCUCUAUAGAGUUUCUAGCUUUGCAAGAAGAUCAAAACUCCAAGACUUAGGGUGUAAAUCCAAACCCUAGAACCAUUCUUGCAUAAAACUCACCUUAGCCUAAAGCUCACCCAAGUCCACCUUAUAGUAGAGCCUCUAAACCUUCAAAUCUUCCAAAACUCCACCAAAAUCCCUUCUCCUUCUACUUCUCCUUGCUCUUUGGAGAGAUUUCUAGAGAGAGAAAGGGAGAGAAAUAGGUUGGAGAUGUGUUCUCUGCAGUAAAGAGAGAAUAGAGAGUGUUGGGGUAUUUUAUAAGGUGCUACAAUAGCAAAAAGGUCCCCAAAAAACUCAUAUUUGCAGCAGACCAACUUUUGCUGCCAGACCCAUGGUGUACCAGUACAGAUCACCCUGUCACCGGUAACACGAUUUCACAGAACCAAACCCGAGAGCAGCUGUUCGGGUUUUACAAAAGUGUACCGGUACACACCAAAGGUGUCACCGGUAACAAAGCCAAAUUUUCUCAAACCCGAGAGCAGCUUCCCCUACAUGUGUACCGAUACAACAUUGAUGCUGUACCGGUACAAAAUGCCCAGACUUCAGACUUUUGCAUCUUUUCAAUCCUAUUUCGCUCCGAUCAAUGCAAAAACCAUUCUAACUCUUUUAAACUCACUUUUAAUCCUUCCAACCUUGUUGGAAUGCCAAUUGGAACCUGUCCAACUAGUUCUCUUGGAUGUUUUAGUCAAUUUGGCUAAAGUCCAAUAAUAUCUACCGCGGUUUCGAUAUAUUACAAUGUAUAUCACUCUUUUUGCAAUUAAUAGAUGUUCUAUUAUGCACAGUAUUUAUAUGUUUGCAUUCAACGCAAUAAAAAUUAAAACAUAAUAAGAGUGUUCUAUUAUGUCAUAAUAGUGUCAAACUGUACAUAUUCUGCAUUCAUAGGAUGAACAUAAUUAAUUUAUUUUCUAGUUAUUUUCAGAAUGAAGUUAUGUGCUGACUUGUGCUGAAUAAAAUGCAGCUGAAAACAUGGUUGCCACCAGAGUGAAGUCGUCAAGCCGGUCGGACAAGAAGGCCACUACAAGUGGUCAAGGCACAACUUCACAUUCUGCAGAGAAAAGAGCAGACAGAUCAUCCAAAGCUAAAAGGCCGACCAUCGAGCUUGCUGUGAGCAGAUGUUACCCAGUUCAUCUGCACACCACAAUAUGUGUUUCAGAGUUGCAGAAGACUAUGGGCAGAUUUCAGACAGCUGGCUCAGCGUUACGUGAUGUUAUGCCCGAUGAACAGAUGGCACUUCUGAAGACUACUCCAUUCUUUUCUUAUCUCGACUUGCCUCCAAUUAAACAAGAUCUUGUGUUAGUCGAUUGCCUCCUCAGUUUUUGGGACUAAGAGAGAAGAGGUAUAAGAAUUGGAGAAACUUUUCUUCCCCUUACUCCAGAGGAGAUCUCCAUUUUGGUGGGGCUGCCAGCACAGGGGGAACCAAUAGAAUGGCAGAAUAAGGGUGUAAAAUCGAGCACUCUUGAUAAAUACUUGAAUGGUGACUAUCGGCAUGCCGAUAGGUCAAAAUUACGACAUAUUUUGUACAGUCCUGCUGGUCAGAAUGGAGAAAAGAUGGCAUCUGAUUUUGUGCGUAUAUUUAUAUUAUACGUAUUUGCGACCGUCCUCUUUCCUACCAGCCACUACAAUGUGCCAAAGGCACUAUACAGAUAUAUAGAUGAUUUACAUAGAAUAGGAAAAUAUGCCUGGGGUCAUGCUGUAUGUAAUUAUCGUAAGUUCGAUCUCCAGAGCCUCCUAUGUGUGAAGUGUCGAAAUAGCGGCCAAGAAAGAGUCGGCGGCUAUAUCGACGGCUGUACAAUAACAUUUCUGGUAAGUAAUAUCAUAAAUUAGUAUGUCAAUAUAAUUUAUUUUGCACAUUUUUUUAUGAUAAUAAUAUUGUUAAAUCAUGAUAAACUUGCAGAGUUGGGCUUACGAGCAUAUAAAGGAGUUGGGUAAUUCCGACGGAGACAAGGUUAUCCCUCGGAUGAGAAAAUAGAAGGGUUCAACAGCCUAUAGGAGUUACGAGAAGCUACUAAAAAAGUUGCAGAGCUAUACUCCUACAGAGUUGGAUGUUGGCGAUACUGUAAUAAGGGACAUUCCUUCUAGAAUUGAACGACUUAAAGGGCGUGAAAGGAAACAGAGGAGAAAGUGUAAUAUACCGAAAACUCGAAAAAUAAAUAUCGAACUUUAGUCAAAUUGACCAAAGUGCGAGGAUGGAACACUUCGGAAAGUCCGAAGGUGUUAAAAGGAAUAAAAGUGCAUUGUGGGAGGUUUUUGAGAGCUAAAGAAUCAAAAAUCUGCAUUCUGCAGGUUUUGUGCUCUCGGGGACCGGUCCCUGGUGGGAGAGACCAGUCACCGAACGCGUGAAAAUUGAAAAAGGCAGAAAAUCGGCUAAGUCCCAGAAAACUAGCUCUCAGGAACCGGUCCCUGCGGGGAGAGACCGGUCCCCGAGAGACCGGUUGUAAGGAAGUGAAUUCUCAAAAAUCCGAGGAUUGUACUUCAUUCAGGAUCGACUAAUUGUCGAGAGAAUACCCUUUGUGGGAGUUGAAAAUGUCCAAAACACAAAAAGUGCUUUGGAGUUGAGUCCGCGAGAGCAAUAAGCAAAAAUCUGGACUGGGAAGAUUUUGCUCUCGGGGACCGGUCCCUGGAGGGGAGGACCGGUCCCCGUAGCUACAGUUGCGGGGUUGCUUGAUACAACCGGUCCCUGGUAGGGAGGGACCGUUUUCCGAACGUGGUUCCUGCGAGAAACGCCAAAAUUUGGCUAAGUCCUAAGAAUUGAGCUCUCGGGGACCGGUCUCUCAGGUGAGGACUGGUCUCCCAAGGACCGGUCUCCUGGGGAGAGACCGGUUCCCGAACGCCUGCGCCCGAGAGAGGCCCUCGGGGACCGGUCCCAAGUCGGGGAGACCGGUCCCUCCGCGCGAAUUCUGCCCAGUAAAAGCAGUGUAUACGAUUAAAAGUUGAGGGGUUUUUAUGCAAAAUGGCAUUAGGUAGGGGGGGAUUAGAGGGGCUGAGCCCUCUUCCUCUCUCACCCUCACUCACACUCUCUCCCUCUCUUUCUCUCUUGCUCUCUCUCUCUCUAGAAAGGAAAGGAGAAGAAGAAGAACAAGGAAAGGAAGGAAAAGAAUGAGAAAAACAAGGAGGAGAAAAAGCAGGAGAUCAAGAGGAAGGCCUUGGACACCUUCAUCUCCCUCUACUCUUCUCUUUGGUGUAGCACAAGAGGUGAGCUACUAAACCCUAGCUUCUAGAAUUUGGGGUUUUGGGUUUUUAUGCUUUGGAAUGGGCCAAAUGGACCUUAAGCAUGCUUCUAAAUAGAUCAAUCCCAAGAAUCUAGGGAUUUAUUGGAUGGUUUGCUAUAGGUGCAAACCUAUGACUCCAAAAUAGGCUUUUUAGGAAAAUAUGAGAUUGAUCUCAUUUGAAGCCUUGGAAACCCUAUUCUUAGGUCACAAAACGUGGGGGCGAAGUCGGUUUUGGCAUUCGGCGAGCCGGCGUAAAGUUCUUGGCAAAAUAGGGCCGGGAUAGCUUGGAUUUGGGCGAGGAAGGCUAAAGCCUUUUCUUAAAGUUCGCCGAGAAGGAUUUCCGAAGCCUCUACAUCGAUUAAAGGUGGGGGGUGCCAUCCCGAAGCUUUCGAACUCCUUUCUAUGUCUUAGAUUGCAUUUAAUCUCAUAUCUUCAUGUUGCAUUGUAGGAUUGCAUAGUAGCUCCCUUCCUUAUGCUUUCUAAAUGAUAACCUAGUGUACUUGGAACGCUUGGUGACUUAGAUAGGUGAGGAUUGGGUCGGAACGUGGAUCCUAUGAUGCGAAAGAAAAGAGAUGUACCCGAUAGGGGUGUUAAUGACAUAGAAAGUAGUGUUAAUGUCAAAGAACAAACGAGUGGCAUCCAAAUGCUAAAGAUGACGAGUGGCAUUAAUGUAGUGUAAAUGACACUAGAGAUUUGAGAACCUAGGGAUAGGUGGAUCCCUUAGAAAAUGCCUUGUGGACAAGAACUUAGUAAACCUAAGUAACCUCGCAUGGAGAGGUCGUCGGUGAGUCGAUUGAGACAAUGACCCUAGUGGUAGUACUCCCUCACUUGGAGAGGAUUUGAUUGGGUUGUGGACCCUAGUAAUAGUGCUCCCUCACUUGGAGAGGAUUUGAUUGGGUAUUGACUCUAGUUGUAGAGCAUCCUCACUUAGAGAGGACUUGAUUGAGUUGUUGACCCUAGAUGUAGGGCAUCCUCACUUGGAGAUGAUAGAUCUAGCUCACAGUCUGCAUUCGGGAUGGUAUAGCCAUCCAAUCCCCACAUGGAGGGGAUUGUCGUCGAGUACUCCGGAGUGUCGUGCGACUAGGACCACUUGGAGGUCCGGACCACUUGGAGGUCCGGACCACAUGGAGGUCCGCAGACGGUCCCGGGCUUGGGUGCACUUGGAGCUCCCUCCCCACUUUGGGAUUGAAAGGUGAGUUAUGGGCGAGCCCUAGGGCCUCGCUACAGAUUCGGUAAAUGGAAAGAGUAAAGGUUUAAUAAUGUUAUUGAACAUUGCUAUUCGAACAUGGAUCGAAUUUGUUAGCAUGGUAGCAAACCUUUAUCAUAUGAUGCAUGCAUUCAUAUUCAUGAUUAUGGGUAUAAUAGCAUAGUUUUUCUACUACUGCAUUUACAGUUUUCAGAUACAUAUCUAUUUAUCUAUCUAUCCGUUGUUACUUGUGCCCACUUGGACCUAGUGGGGAGAUCGGCAGAGUCGGCGGCCGAGCCCACUGGGAACUAUGGAAGAUAGUUCUCACCCCACUCUAUUUCCAGUGGUAGGUACAGGCUACCAAGAAAGGACCGCGGCAAGGGCAUCGCGCCCGAUCAGUGAGACCGUGGUAGUAUAGUAGCUUUCCUUUUUGCAUUAGCACACCUAUGUAUUGAGAGAGAUUCAUUGUAGGUGAGGAUUUGGAGAGCUAUAUAUUUUGGAGAUGAAAAAUGUAUACAUUUAAAGAGAACGAUGUAAAUAAAAAUGAUGGAACUAUUGUAAUAGUUAGUAAAGUACUCUCUUUAUUUCACAUGCUAUAUCUUGUGGAUUGCUUGCUCUUUGUGUUGUUGGCACUGUUUGUGCCCUUAUGAAUGUGUAUGUUUAGAAUUUAAUUUCCUGGAUAAAUUCUUGUACACAUUCCUAUUGAUGAGCCUUGGGCGGACAAAGGAGGUACUGUCCGUUCGGCGGCCCGCCGCCGCGGCCGAACCGUGCCAAAUUCGUAGUGGUUUCGGGGCGGGGCGUGACACCGGUCUCCCUGGGAGAAACCGAUUGCCUCGAGCGAAAGCCCCCGCUGAGCUGCGGGAGAGCUCUCUGGGACCGGUCCCAAGUCGGGGAGACCGGUCCCCGAGCACGAAAACUGCCCAGUUCAAGCAGUUUAAUAAAGUGAAAGCUGAGGGGUUUAUUUGCAAAAAUGCAAUAUAUGGGUUAUGUUAUGAGGGGUUUUGGGAUAUUUCUCUCAUUCUCUCCCUCACACUCCCUCUCUUCUCUCUUUCUCUCUCUAGAAGACAAGAAAGAGAAGAAGAAGACAAAGAAAAGAAAGGGAAAGAAGAAGAAGAAAGUGGAGAAGAAGAAGGAGUGAAGAACCCCCUCUCCCUCAUCUCUAGCUUGUAGGAGGGAAUGCUUUGAGGUAAGCUUUAAACCCUAUUAUGGUGAAACCCUAAAAUGGGAUUUGAUUGAGCUAAGAGUGGUUUUUAUAGAGCCUUUAGAGUAUUUGGGGCUAUCUAUUACUUCUUUUAGAGAUCAAAACCAUGGUUGGGUAUAAGUGAUGAAGCUUAGAGGUAAGCUUCACCCCUCUCAUGGUAGAAUCCAAACUAGGGUUUGGAUUGAGCUAAGGAUGGUUUUUAUGGAGUCUCUAGAAUAGAUUGAAGCUUCUUUCCCAAUGAGAUCAAAUCCUAGGUUUUGGUAUAUAUGAAGCUAGGGCACCCAAAUUGGGGCUUUUGCUUGUAAGGGAUUCAAAGUGAAAUUAACCCUUUAGAAACCUAAUUGGGGGUAUUUCCGACGCUUUGGUGCGCUCGGAUUAACGUUACUAAAAGCUAAUGUAAAGAUAUGAGCAAAAUGGCCUAAUAGGGAUUCGUUUUGCCGCAGGUGACGAACUAAGAAGCUAAAAAUCCCAGGAAAAUCACCGUAACACCUAAGAAAGCCUACAAGGUGGAUGGUGCUAUCUAAACUUAUUGGAAUUCCUUCUAUGCCUAAUGUGUCAUUCAAUUAAGCAUAUAUUUAUAUUGUUCCAUGCAUUAUAGGGUAGAUGUGAUGAUAUACAUGUGAAUGUUGCAUGAUGUGAGUACACGUGCUAUUUGAAAUGUUUGAGAGCCUACUUAACCCUAUAUGUAUGCAUGAGAUAUAAUAUGAGCACCCAAUGAGAUGAAAGAACGAGUGACACAAUAAAACAUAGAUCGAGUGGCAUUCGAUAAUGUAAAGUAAAGUGACACUAGAGUUGGUGUGUGUAGCAUCAAAGAGAAAUGUGACGCAAAGAAUAAUGAUAAUGAUUAGAGACAGAUAAAGAAAAUGAAAGUGGCAUAAAGAAUGAGUAAAGCUAAAGAACAAAGAAUGCUAGAGUUAGCAAAAUAAAGUGAUGUAAAGAACACUAGAGUUAGUGAAUUGACAUGGUCAAAGAUAAAGAAUGCAAAGAACAUGAGAUUGACACGAUGACAUUCAAAAUUAGAGCUAAGGGUCAUUUGUGCAUAAUUCCUUAGAGUUAAGGAACAGAUUGAACUAUAUAUCCUUAGAGUUAAGGAUUGAUCAUACUUGCUAUGAGUUCCGUGCUCGAGGGCGGUCGCUCCCCCUCGAGUGAUGCGCUCUGGAGUUUUGCAUCACGGGUUGGAGUAAAUCCGAGGACGGUCUUAGCGGGAGGUAGCUGAGAGCCCGCGAUGAUGGACUUAAUGUGGGCAAGUUAAUGUGGCAAAACCCCUGGGUUAGCCGUGAGAUUAAAGAACAAAGAACAAAGAUUAAAGAAUAAAGAGUAAAGAACAGAGAACUUGCAUACUUGCAUGAAUUACGUUGAGCAUACUUCUUGCUUCAUUGUUCAGGCAUAUUAGCAUUAUGAUUAUUGUUUGGUUACUCUUCUGCUUUUCUAUUAUGCCUGAGUUAGUCCUAGUGGGAAAGUCGGUGAGAUUGGGGCCAAACCCACUGGGAACUUUGUUGUAGUUCUCACCCCACUAUUCCAUAUAGCCGGGACCAAGCGAGCCGGCGAGCGACCGUGGUAAAGGUAUCGCACCUUAGUCAGAGGCCACCCGAGUCGGGCUUUACCUUUUGUUAGUAGUGUAUCUUUUAUCGUCUUUUGUAUUUGAUAAUUUAAGAUGUUGAUGAAUAAAGCAAAGAAAGAAAAGAAUGUAAUGUUUAUUCUGAGCCAAUGUGAUGUAAAAGAAAUGAUGCAAGUGAUGUAAUGAAAUGUAAAGACUUUAUAAUUGUACAAGUUGGAUGAAAUGGAUACAUGUAUGGGAUCAAAAGAGAAUCAUAGUACUUGUGUAGAUAUUUAGUUUCCUUUCUUUCACUCAUGGCUAGUGCUUACCCUCGUGUAAGCCGUUUGUGUAUGUUUCCGCUAGUGCACUUCUUGUUUGAAAAUGUACAAGUGAUGAGUCUUGGGCGGAUAGGGAAAAUUCUGUUCGUUCGGCGUCUGUUUAACGUGCUCGGGCCGGCCCAAAUUGGUAUCGGUCCCGAGGCAUGACAGAAUGUCCCCUGAUUUUACGCCAGGCGAACGUCGUAUGACUCGCCAUUAUAGAAGAAAGCGGCGGAAUCCUUUGAAGAUCGGGGGGGCCGAAGCUGGUGAAGAGGCAUCAAAUACUGUGUCAGGGACCAUUGCGGAGGUCCUUAUGGUAAUAUAUGAUGUAGUUGAUUAAUUUUAAUGUGAAUAAACUUAUAUCAUAUAAAAUAUGACUUUUGCACAUGAUUUGGUUCAUAAUAGGAAAUGAAAGCUGAACUUGGACAAUUAGAAAGUGCAUUACCAGCUGUUGAGAUUAAUGAUGUCCCUGCGCUGGUUGAGUCGCCUGGUUAAUUAUUGAGCGUCGUCGCAACUACCCCGGAAGAGAUAAUAUUCCCAAAGAUGAGCGGGAUGCAAUAAAUUUUCUAAUAUCCCGACCUAUUACAAAGUUUGUCAAUCUUUAUGUACAUGUAGUGAUUAGUUAGCAUUAAAUAUAAUUGGCAAAAUAUUCGAGCUUAACUAUUUAGCAAUUCUUUUCUAACAUAUUGUUAUAUAUUUUAUUUUUUGAAUAGGGGACCCAUAUGGCAAGAUGAUACGAAAGGGUCAGAUUCGCCUCCUGUUAGCGGUCAAGUCCUCCUUAAUUACUUAUUUGGAGGCCCGACGCGCGACGAGGUUAGUGCUGCCACAGAUUAUGUAUUGUAUUAGCGCGUGUAGCUUGUUUUAUAUAUAUAUAUAAUUCUAAUUCUCUUUGUUUUGCUGACUUUCUUAUUUAGGUGAUUAAUGUGUAUUUUCAUAUAAUUGAUAAGCUGGAUUGCAUGGGUGUACAUAAAUUAGUCAACCUGGUAUUUUCUCCCGAAGUGAAGUUGCGGUGAGUUUGAUGCUUUCACUAUUAGAUUAGUUGUUCUCUAUUUCUCGUUCUCUAUUUCCCUAUCAAGCAAACUAAAAUAAAUAUAAAAGUGAGUUAAAAUGGAAGAUAAAAAUCUGUUGAAUUCCGAAUCCCAAUUUGUUGAACAUUAUUUAUUAGGUCCUGUUUCAUAAUCUGUGAAAAUAUUAACCGUCCAAAAAAUUGCAUUUGAGUUUCCCGCAACUGUUCGUAAGGCAUCUUGCUAACUUGAUUCCUUUUUCUAUGCAGAUGCACGUACUAAAUAGGAUGCAAGGAAUUGGAAAGGAUGAGGCACAGCUGAUUUUGUCAGGGAUGUGGCUUUUGGAUCCGCAUUUAUACGUCACUUUCUGGAAAAAAUAAAUGCACAUACCUGCAGCAAGAAUAGAUUUGUACUUAUUCCUUAACAUAGUAAUUGGCAUUGGCAUUUACUAUCAAUUGAUUUGAAGGAAGGGUGUUUUGAGAGCUGGAACUCAUUGUGGAGCCACAGCGGGGCACACGACGCAGCACAGCUGCUGGUAUUAAUUUAUUCUUGACAGUAGACACACUGUUUUAGUUAUUUAUUCACUUGGCAGUAACAUCUACUAUCCACUCAUUUUAAUUUAUUUACCUUUUUUUCUCUUCGACAGGCGAAGUGGUUUUCGUCCUAUUUUGAGCACAUCCUCCAAAUCCCUGUAGGCGUUCCUGACGUCGUAUUUCGUAAAGAAUGUCAACAACAGGGUUCCACAGAAGUCGAAUGUAACAUAUUGAAAUUCGAGAAUGAUUAUCGAACUUUAGCCAAAUUGACUAAAUUAUGCGAAAGAGAUGGAUGGACAUGUUGUAUUUAGCAUUUCAAUAAUGUUGGAAGGGUUAAAAAUGAGUUUAAGGGAGAUUAGAAAGGUUUUAGCAUCGACCGGCGCUAAGUAGAAUCGAAUCGGAGCUAAAACUGCAAUCUGGUGCAUGUGUACCGGUACAACCAUCGAGUUGUAACCGGUACAGACCAGCAGCCCGAGAGAAAGCUGCUCUCGGGUUUGAGUUUUAGCAGAAAUGUACCGGCACACCCCUGGUGUGUACCGGUACACUUUGGUAAAAUCCGAGGAGACUACUCUCGGGUUGCCUCUGCGGAGAAAAUGUACCGAUACAAAAUCCCGUGUACCGGUACACUUUGGUCCCGCAGCAACUUGAAGUUUGUUGCAAAUAAGAUUUUUUGGGGCGCUUUGUUGCUAUUGUUGUAACCUAUAAAAUACCACAACACACCCACUGGUUCACAGUAGCUGUGAACACCAUCUCCAACCUAUUUCCUCCCUCUCUCUCUCUAGGAAUCUCUCUCCAAAGGCUAAGAAGAAGAAGAAGGAGAAGGGAUUUUGGUGGAGUUUUGGAGGAUUGAAGGUUUAGAGGCUCUCCAACAAGGUGGACUUGGGUGAGCUUGUGGCUAAGGUGAGUUUUGUGCAAGAAUGGCUCUAGGGUUAGGAUUCUUACCUUAAGUUUUAGAGUUUUGAUCCUCUAAUAACCCUAGAAACGUCGAACGAACCUUGAAAUCCAUGAAAACCAUGAUUUUUUCAAGGUCCUCUAAUGGUGAACAUUUAGGGUAUGAAGUAGAUGCCCUAGGGAUGUUUGGAAUGGCUUAGUAAUGGUAUUAGAAUACUUCCUAGGUGAUUCUAAGCUAGUAUUUGCUUAGAGAUGAGAUCAAUCUAGGAGAAAUCCCAUUAUAGCAUUGUUAGGGCAUGGAUUUUGGGGCUUUUACCUCCGGUUGUUUUUGAGAUAAAUUGACAUCUUGGAAACCUAAUUAGGGGUGUUGUCACGCCUCGUGCCCCGCCUAUUUAGUCGAGUUCGGGCACGCCAACAGACCGUCGAACGGACAGGGUUUUCCUGUACCGCGGACAGAGUCUUCCCUGUACGUCCAAGGUUCGAUACAAUUCACGAUGUUCCAACUAGGAACCGAAUUCAAGCAAAGAUUACAUAAGGAAGUAUCAAAAACAUAAAACAACUAAGUUAUUACAACAUUCAUCUUAGGUGUAUUUUACAUCACAAUUUUCUUUUACAAUCAACUUCCAAAAUACAAUCUAGUUAACACAAUUAUUUCAAGUUUGAUACAUUUGUAUUCUUUGUCUUCAAACCCCUAAGCUAGACCACCUCAGGGUACCGCUAUCUCAAUCUCGGGGUUAGGGCCGCUAUCUACGAAGCUACGCCCUUGCCACGCGCCGCCGCACCGCUCACGUGCGAACCUAUAACACCCCAAAACAACGUGGGGUGAGAACCAACUCCAUAGUUCCCAGUGUGUACGGCCACCCAAGGGAAAAGCUCGACCAAUAAGUCUAAGAAGGCACUGCAACAGUUAGUCCAGCAGAUAUAUAUAUAUAUACGAUUAAGGAAAAACAUGCUAUGCCUCACAAUAUGCAAUAUGCAAAUCCUGUAUCUCAUGCAAGUAGAUUAAAUGAUUCUACUUCAUAUCAUUAACCAUUCUUUACUUGUAGCCGUUUUUACUUUAUUAGCUAUUCUUUACUCUUAGCUAUUCUUUAUUCUUAGCUAUUCUUUAUUCUUUACUAAGGNCUUUACUUGUAGCCGUUUUUACUUUAUUAGCUAUUCUUUACUCUUAGCUAUUCUUUAUUCUUAGCUAUUCUUUAUUCUUUACUAAGGGUACUCACCCCUUAGUCAUAUUAUACUCAUUUGUCUUUCUUUCCUAAGGUUACUCUUACCUUAGUUACACUAUGCCACUCGACUCAAUCUUGAGUAAAUUAACUGCGGAUAAUCCGCACUCUGUCGGCUCGAGGUGAAGGAACUCUCGCAUGCACCUCAGCCUACCACAACCAGCCGCACUCUAUGACUGAGCCACUCGGCGGCGAAAUCGUCGCACAUACGCCACGACAAUGGCUCAAGUCAAGCGGUGGUACAAUCCACAAACCGGCAUAACCAUCCGGCAGCAAAAUCGUCGCACACACCACGUCAAUGGUUAGCCCCGGACGGCGAAAUCGUCGCACACGCCCAACACCACUUUGGGUGUUCCAAAAGCUCUGGGAUUCCGGAAUCGAUUUCACAUAACUCAAGAAUUGGUCUUAACCCUAUAGUAUCGACCUAUCUAGGCCCAAUGUCCCUUCCAACCUAGGUCCACUUGACUCUAGGUUUAACACUUUUAUCACAUAACCUAGGUUACUUUAACUCUUGGUUCGCUAUCUUUAUCUCACAACCUAAGUUGACUUAACUCUAGGUUUCUUCUCAACCUAUGUUUUCUAACAUUAGGUUUGAUGCCACUCUUGUACGACCUAUGUUUAUUAACACUAGGUUCGAUGCCACACCUGUUCAACCUAUGUUUAUUAACACUAGGUUCGAUGCCACACUUGUUUAACCUAUGUUUAUUAACACUAGGUUCAAUAUUACUCUUACUCAACCUAUGUCCUUGAUACUAGGUUCAAUACCACUCGAUAUAUAUAUAUAUAUAUAUAUAUAUAUAUAUAUAUAUAUAUAUAUAUAUAUAUAUAUAUAUAUAUAUAUAUAUAUGUCCACAUGCACAUGUCAUUUAACAUAGUUCUAUAUAUAUCAACUUACCUUCACUUAGCAUUCUCGUCAUGUCAUCAUUUAUUUUCUUAGCAUUAACCACAUGCUUAUCAUGUAUUUACUUGGCAUUCUUAUAACAUGCAACAUGCAUUCAACUAGCAUUAAUCAAUGCAUUUAUUUAGCAUUUCUAUACCAUGUCAUUCAUGCAUUCUCUUUUGUAUUUUUACUUUAUGUCAUUAGCAUGCAUUCUCUUUAGCAUUUACUACAUGCAUCCACUUAGCAUUUACAUGCAUCAAUAUGAAACCACAUUACCCUUAGACAUUACGGCGACCUAGUCGCUUCGGUAAAUACAACCCACCUCGAUUCGCACUCCGAUUGGUUGUCGUCACUUGAAAUCGGCCUCCCACGGCACCCGUGACCCAGUUCGGCCCGAACUCUCGCGCGACCACCCGAACGGCCUGCAAUCCACGAUCCGGAAAUUAAAGGUCUACGGUUAGUUGCCACGAGCCCACGAUUCCGUUUUCAUGAUUUUAGGACGUCGCCUCGGCCCUCCAGGCGGAAACGAAGCCGAAACGUCCGUUUCUUUAAUAUCUUCGCACCGGCUCGACGAAUCGCCGAACCGACUUCGCCAACGCGUUCGUAUACCUAGCAAUUAGGUUUAUAUAGGUUCAAUUUAGAUCAAACCCAUCUACUAGCAAAAAUGCCAUUUUUGAGUCCUAGGUUACAAGUAUGCAAGAAAUCACCAUUUAGUUUCAUGAUUCAAGCAUUAAUCCUCUAUUUAACAUCUAGAAGUUCCACUAAAUCCAUUCUUAGAGCAUAUAAUUGAAGCCCUAAAAUUUUACCAUUAAAGGCAUCAAAGCUUACCUCUCAAGCUAGCUCCAAUGAAAAGGAAGAAGAUGAUGAAGACGAAAAUCCACCUUCAAGCUUCAAUCUCCACCAAAUCCAUCUCUUGAUUCCACCUUCAAGAGAGAGAGAGAGAUCCUUCUUGGUUGCAAGUGUGAGGGAAAGGGAGAGAAUGUGUGCGUGGGUGUGUGCGGGUGCGGUUCAGCCAGCCACAAAGUAGGGGCUGUGAUAAUUGCACAAAACCCCCUCUUACACCAAUUACAACUUGCAGUUUAGCAGAUACAAACUUACGUUUUUCGCCGGAGCCCUUCUGAAUGUCUGUUUGUGUUCAAAUUUGACAGUCAGGCUCGGUUUUACUUAAUAAGUCCAAAGAAAUUUUAAUCUUUCAGUUUCGACCAUAGUUGGUCACCGAAAGCUCUAACAAACUGUAAUCUCUAGCAGAUAGCAGUCGAAUUUUAUUUUCCACAUUCCGAGUGUCGGAUUGACAUGAAACUUUAAAUCUAGCCUCAUAAAAAUAAUUCCGACAUAUUCUCCAGUUUUCAUAAUUUUCUGACACUGUACAUUUUCUGCUAAAAUAUCAGUCCCGUUUCUCACAGAAAAUUCUAAAUCUUCUAUUUUCGUUCUGAUUUCAGCACGAGUCAUUUUCGACUUAUAUUUUACUUCUCUAAAUCCAAUAAAAAUAGUAUCUCACACUAUUUUUAUUUAUUUUUUACUUUUAUAUCAAAAUCUAAUAUGUUACAAGCCCAAAGUGUACGGGUACACUUCCUCGUGUCACCGGUAACACGACUGUGCAGAGACAAAACCCGAGAGAUGCUUCUCGGUUUCCUAGCAUUUGUACCGGUACACUUUCAAUGCUGUACCAGUUACAACUCGAUGAUUGUACCGGUACACUUUGUCCAGACUUGGUUUUUGACUCCGUUUCGAUUCUAUUUUGCAUCGAACAACGCUAAAACCUUUCCAACUUCUUCUAAACCCACUUUUAACCCUUCCAACCUUGUUGAAAUUUUAAAUAGAACUCGUACAACCAUUUCAUUCGCACGCUUUAGUCAAUUUGACUAAAGUCCAAUAUUUUCUACCGAAGUUUCGGUAUGUUACAGGUGUUCCCGACGUGUGGGACAACUCCGUUUGACGUUACGAAAAGACUAAGUAAGAGUUCUAUGUAUUAAGCAUAAUUUGGCUUUAUUUUUGGGUUUAGGUCGCGGGAUAGGCGUCCUAAAAUUGCGAGAGUUGAACUACAACCCUACUACAAUAUUCAAGGUGGGGGGUGCACACCGGAAUCAUCGGAUUCCCCUUUAUGUCUAUUUCACUUUUGUUUAGCAUAUUUAUGUAUAGAAUCAUUCAUGCAUGAUAGGGUGUUUGACAUGUGGUUAAUGGUUAGAAUUUCAAUAUUAUGUUUCUAACGUAGAUGAACAUAGUGAUUGAACAAGAACCAUAAUAGACAUGUAUAGUAGAACCCUAAAGAUUGUAUGAAUAUGAGACUUGGACCAAGACAAUAGUAAACAAAGGUGAUAUUGACAAUAGAGACGAGAUUGGCAUUGAGACAUUGGUUGUUAAAUAAAGUUUAACCAUUAGAGGCAUUUGGGCAAGAGUAGCCUAGAGAGUGGCAAAUAUGAUAAGGUAGAGACCUAUCAUUGAUAAAGUGGCAUUGUGACUAGUGGCUAUGUAUUCCCAAGUUGGGAAUUGGAUCAAUACUCACGAUAAGUCUUGGCUUGAGAGAGAUAGCUCCCCCUCAAGCGGUGCGUUCCGGAAUUGUCACCACGGGGAGCGCCAUCCCCGAAGACGGUCCCUCGGGUCUUGUAGUGGUUAGAGCCUCCCCGAAUGAAAGGGAUUUUGGGUUGUGAGUUAUUGGGGUUAACAAGGUUAACCGGAAAGAUUGUGUAAAGAAAGCGAAAGUAAAGUAUGGAUAAAGCAUGCAUGCAUCUUUAAUAUCGCUUGAUAUAUAUAUCUGCUGACAUCUUUCUUGCAGGCAUAGUAUUAGCAUUAGUAAUGGUUACUUUUCUCUUUCUUUGAAAUACUUAUGCCUGAAUAGACCUAGUGGGUAAGUCGACGAGAUCGGUUGCCGAACCCACUGGGAACUUUGUUGUAGUUCUCACACCACUAACCUUACAGAUCCGAGCGUGAGCGGGACGGCGAAGGAUCGAGGCAAGGGUAUUGCGCCAUAGCUAGUGGGCACCGGAGUUAUGCAUUUUAGUCAUUCCCUUUUUGGUUCAUAUAUCAACUUUCUUUUGUUGAUUAGAAUUGUAAAGUUAUAAACAGUCAUGUAUUUCGAGAGAAUGAUUAAGAUGUAAAAGAAUUUAUGAAUGAAUGGAAAAAGAAUGUAAUAGUUGUAAUUUAUUUGUAUUUGGUUAAAAUGUAAUCAAAUAUUAUGAAUGGUUGUAUGUUUUAGUAUAGAGCUUUCGCUUUCGUUGCUGCUUGCCCUCGUGCAAGCCUUGUAUAAUUGCAAAUCUCUUUGUUUGAUUGCUUAAUUAUACCUGUGGUUGGAGCCUUGGGCGGGCAGGGGAGGCCUUGUCCGUUCGGCGUUUGUUGAUGUGGCCCGAACCCGACCAAAUUUGGCGGGGAGCGGAACGUGACACGAUUGCUCACAAAUUGCUAUAGCUGGUCUGCUUGCACAACGGAUAGGUAGCCGACCCUCAUAUUUGCAAUUUGGAGAAAGUGGUGCAGGAAGUUAUAUUGUUUUCUUUUCUGCUGAGAAAAGCCGUCAGAAAGCUAUUCGUCGUUCCCCAAUAAGAAAUGACAUAUUAACGAUCACAGUAACUCCAUGGGAAGCUAGCCAUUAUACAGCCGUACUAACAUUUCAGUAUUUUGUAUGGAUUCGCCUACAGAAUUUACCACUCUAUUGCCAUCAGUAUCAAGAGUUAACAACUAUUGUUUCGAGCUUUGGCAGUACAUACGGGCCGAUAAGCGCAGCCGUCUUGGUGAAAAUCUAAACUACUAUCGUCUCGUGAUAAAAUGUAUUAAUCCUCGCAUCAUACCAGAAUAUAUUCUACUCUAUUUAGGGAAUAGAGAAUGGACAAUUUUUGUUGAGAUUGAGUCAUGGGAACCGUGCUCUCCAACUGAAAGCCCAUGAUGUACUGUAUACGGUACCACCUGCAUCGCAUAUUUUAUCAUGAGUUUUAAUCUAAUAUUAAGUUUGGCUCAUUGUCUUCAAAUAUAUUUUUUUAAUAUUGUAUAUUAUGUUUUAUCAACCAUAGCUGAAAAUGCACUGGGUAUGGUUGUUCCUGUGUCGCUUUUGCUGUACCGAAAUAUUGUACAGGUAUUCCAAGAUACAUUUAUAACUGUACAAUACAUCAGUUUAAGUGUUCAUCAUAUAGGCCGGUUCAAAUAUAUUGUACCUCGAAAGUAAUCAAUCUUUCUAAAAUCAGAAAACACACUUUUAUUUUAUAGAGGUCGCAGGUACAUCUGUAGUGUUAGAGGGCACACUCAUAUACCUGCCACAUCUAUAUGUCCAUUUCUAUAUGGUAGGUUUUGCUUGUGCAGCUAUAACUUAAAAUGGUACAAUUAUACAGCUCCCUGGAACAUCUAUAGUGGUAAAGGGCACAUCCAUAUACCUGCCACAUCUAUAUGUCCACUUUUAUAUGGUAGGCUUUACUUUUACAGCUAUAACUUAAAAUGAAACAUUUAUACUGCUUCCCGGAAUAUCUGUAGGACUAAAGUGCACACCCAUAUUCCUACCACAUCUAUAUGUCCAUUUCUAUAUGGUAGACUUUGCUUUUGCAGUUAUAGGUUAAAAUAGAACAGUUAUACCGCUCACCGGAACAUCUGUAGUGGUAAAGGGCACACCCAUAUACCUGCCACAUCAAUAUGUCCACUUCUAUAUGGUAGGCUUUACUUUUGCAGCUAUAGCUUAAAAUCGAAGAUGUCUACUUCUAUAUGGUAGGCUUUGCUUUUGCAGCUAUAACUUAAAAUCGAACAGUUAUACUGCUCCCCGAAACAUUUGUAGUCCACUUCUAUAUGGUAGGCUGUGCUUUUGCAACUAUAGCUUAAAAUGGAACAGUAAUACUGCUCCCCGGAACAUCUGUAGGCUUAAAGGGCACACCCAUAUGCCUGCUACAUCUAUAUGUUCAUUUUUAUAUGGUAGGCUUUGCUUUCGCACUUAUAGCUUAAAAUGGAACAGUUAUACCAUUCCCCGGAACAUUUAUAGUGGGUAAAGGGCACAUCCAUAUACCUGUCACAUUUAUAUGUCCACUUCUAUAUGGUAGGCUUUGCUUUUGCAGUUAUAGCUUAAAAUAAAACAGUUAUACUGCUCCCCGGAACAUCUGUAGGGCUAAAGGGCACACCCAUAUGCCUGCCACAUCUAUAUGUCCAUUUCUAUGUGGUAGGCUUUGCUUUUGCAGUUAUAACUUAAAAUGGAACAGUUAUACCGCUCCCCAGAACAUUUGUAGUGAUAAAGGGCACACCCAUAUACCUGCCACAUUUAUAUGUCUACUUCUAUAUGGUAGGCUUUACUUUUGCAGCUAUAGCUUAAAAUGGAACAGUUAUACUGCUUUCCGAAACAUCUGUAGGGCUAAAGGGCACACCCAUAUGCCUGCCACAUCUAUAUGUCCAUUUCUAUAUGGUAGGCUUUGCUUUUACAGUUAUAGCUUAAAAUGGAAUAGUUAUACCGCUCCCCGGAAUAUCUGUAGUGGUAAAGGGCACACCCAUAUACCUGCCAUAUCUAUAUGUCCACUUCUAAAUGGUAGGCUUUACUUUUGUACCUAUAACUUAAAAUGGAACAGUUAUACUGCUCCCCGGAACAUCUGUAGGGCUAAAGGGCACACUCAUAUGCCUGGCACAUCCAUAUACAGAUGAAGGUACAAUGAACUUGUGAAAAUAAUUCGAAUCUGGAUAACAACUCAUAUAAGAUAUAAUCUGAGAGAAAAGACAUCAAGGUAGAUGGACACAGCAUGUUUCAAUAGAAAAAAAGUAACUAGAAUCUUAUCAACAACUCGCAUUACACAAAAAACAUCACGGUUAUGAUUAAGCAGAAUCACGGUUAUGAUUAAGCUUUUUUUAAUCUUCUAUAUUAUGUUUUGUUAACCAUAGCUGAAAAUGGACUGGGCAUGGCUGUUCCUGUGGCGCUUUUGCUAUACCCAACUGUUGUACAGGUGUUCCAAGAUACAUUUGUAACUGUACAAUGCAUCACUUUAAGUGUUCAUCAUAUAGGUCGAUUCAAAUCUACUGUACGUACUUCCAAAGUUAGCAAUCUGAAAUUAAAUCAGAAAACACACUUUUAUUUUAUAGAGGUCGCAGGUACAUUUGUAGUGUUAAAGGGCACAUCCAUAUACCUGCCACAUCUAUAUGACCACUUCUAUAUGGUAGGCUUUGCAUUUGCAGCUAUAGCUUAAAAUAGUUAUACUAUUCCCAGGUAUAUCUGGAGUGUUAAAGGGAACACCCCUAUACCUGUCACAUUUAUAGGUCACUUCUAUAUGGUAGGCUUAGUUUUUGCUGCUACAGCUUAAAACGGAACAGUUAUAGAGGUCGCAGGUACAUCUGUAGUGUUAAAGGGCACACACAUAUACCUCUGCCAUAUCUAUAUGUCCACUUCUAUAUGGUAGGCUUUGCUUUGGGUGCUAUAUCUUAAAUUUGUUAUGUAUAGAGAUGGAACAUCUAUAUGUCCACAACUAAGGGCCUUUUAGUUGUGCCCUCCAUCAGAUCAAGUGGUAAUUUGCUUUUUAUCAAAUCUUUGUCAUUCCAAAUUUAUACAUCUGAACCUAAAUCAUAAUGAACAUUCAUUGUAAACAUUUACAAAUGCAAACGUAAAUGCAAACCUGUAAAUACGGAUGAACAUACAAUGAACUCGCAAAAAUAAUACGAAUCUGGAUAACAACCAUAUAAGAUAAAAUCUGAGAAAAAUUGACACAUUACAUCAUUAAGAAAAAUUGACUAGAAUCUUAUCAACAACUCGCAUUACACAAAAGACAUCACGGUUAUGAUUAAGCAGAAUACAAGAUAACAAAUAUGCCGGGUGUAAUAUACCAAAAAUUCGGAAAAUAAAUAUCGAACUUUAGUCAAAUUGACCAAAGUGCGAGGAUGGUACACUUCGGAAAGUCCGAAGGUGUUAAAAUGAUCAAAAGUGCGUUACGGAAGGUUUCGAGAGCUAGAGAAUCAAAAAUUUGCAAACUGCAAUUUUUGAGCUCUCGGGGACCGGUCCCUGGUGGGAGAGACCGGUCCCCGAACGCAUGCGAAAUGAGAAAGGCCGAAAAUCGGCUAAGUCCCAGAAAACCAGCUCUCGGGAACUGGUCCCUGCGGGGAGAGACCGGUCCCCCAGUGAGAGACCCAUUGCAUCGCACGUGCGCCCUGCUGCCCGCGGGGAGAGCUCUCUGGGACCAGUCCCAAGUCGGGGAGACCGGUCCCCGAGCCCGAAAUCUGUCCAGUUUGAGUAGUUUAAUAAGAUAAAAGCUGAGGGGCCUAAUUACAAUUAUGCAACCCAUAGAGUGAAAUAUGAGGGGAUAUGAGAUAUUUCUCUCAUUCUCACCCUCUCACACUCUCUUAUCUCUCUUUCUCUCUCCAGAAGACAAAGAAGAGAAGAAAGAAAAGGAAAGAAAGAGAAGAAGAAGGAGAAAGAAAGGAAAAGAAAGGCAAAGAAGGUGGAGAGGAAGCCAUUGGAGUGAAGCUAUCUCCUCUUCUUCCCCUUUUGAGCAAGCUUAGAGAUAAGCCUUGCCCCUUUUCAUGGUAAAUCCCAAACUAGGGUUUGGGUAAGCUGAGAAUUGGGUUUUAUAGAAACUUUUGAGCCUUUGAAGCUUUCUUUUGCUUCUUAUAGAGAUCUACACCAUGGGUGGUGUGUGUGUGGUGAAGCUUGAAGGAGAGCUUCAAUCCCUCUCAUGGUAGAAUCCAAACUAGGGUUUGGAUUGAACUAAAGAUGGUUUUAAUGGACUUCUUAGAGUAGAAUAAAGUUUCUUUUGCUUCCCAAUCAGAUCAAACCCUAGGUUUGAUAUAUGCUAUGGAGCUAAGGGCACCCAAAUUGGGGCUUUUGCUUGCGAGGGUUCCAAAGUGAAAUUGACCCACUAGAUAUCUAAUUGGGGGUAUUUUCGAAGCGUUGGUGCGCUCGGAUUAACGUUACGAAAAGUCUAUAAAAAGUUAUGGACAAAAUGGCCUAAGUUGGCUUCGUUUUGCCGCAGGUGAAGAACGAGAAGUCUAAAAAUCCCAAAAAAAUCAUCGGAGCACCUUUGAGAACCUACGAGGUGAGUGGUGCUAUCCAAACUCGUUGAACUUCUUUCUAUGCCUAAUGUGUCAUUCAAUUGAGCAUAUGUUAUAUACAUUGUUGCAUGCAUUGUAGGGUAAAUGUGAUGAGAGUAAUGUGAUGUUGCAUAUUGUGAGUACAAUUUGCCUAAUGAGAUGCUUGAGAACUCCUAUGAAUGUUUAACCCUAUGUAUGUAUGAGAUAAAAUGUGAGCACCAAAGUGAGGCAAAAGAACAGAGUGACACAAUAAGACAUAGAUCGAGUGGCAUUCGAUAAUGUAAAGUAAAAUGACACUAGAGUUAGUGUGAGGCAAAGAAUCAAUGUAAUGUAAAGAGUAAUAACAAUGACUACAGUUAAUGUAAAGUGGGGCAUAAAGAAUAUGCAAAGAGUAAAGAACAUGAUUGCUAGAGAUAGCCAAAAGUAAAGGAAUGUAAAGAACCAUGAUUGCUAGAGUAGCAACAUAAAGUGAUGAAAAGAACACUAGAGUUAGUGUAAUGACAUGAUUGAACUUAUAAUCCUUAGAGUUAAGGAUUCGAUCAUACUUGCUAUGAGUUCCGUGCUCGAGGGCGGUCGCUCCCCUCGGGCGAUGCGCUCCGGAGUUUUGCAUCACGGGUUGGAGUAAACCCGAGGACGGUCUUAGCGGGAGGAAGCUGAGGGCCCGCGAUGAUGGACUUAAUGUGAAGCAAGUUAAUGUGGCGAAACCCCCGGGUUAGCCGUGAGAUUAAGAACAAAGAACAAAGCUUAAAGAAUAAAGAGCAAAGAACCAAGAACUUGCAUAAUCUGCAUGAGUUUUAUGUUCAGCAUACUUCUUGCUUUAUUGUCCAGGCAUAUUAGCAUCAUGUUAUAGAUUGGUUACUAUAUUCAGCUUAUCCUUUCUCUUAUGCCUGAGUUAGUUCUAGUGGAAAAGUCGGUGAUGUUGGGGUCAAACCCAUUGGGAACUUUGUUGUAGUUCUCACCCCACUAUUCCACAGAGCCGGGAUCGAGCGAGCCGGCGAGCGACCGCGGUAAAGGUAUCGCACCAUUGUCAGAGGCCACCAGAGUUGGGUUAUUACAUUUUGUUAAUAGUUUACCCUUUUACCAUCUUUUGUAUUUGAUGAUUUAAGAUGUUGAUGUAUAAACCAAAGAAAGAAAAGAAUGCAAUGUUUAUUUUGAGCCAAUGUGAUGUAAAAAGAAAUGAUGCAAGCAAUGUAAAGAAUCAUGAAUAUACAACUUGGAUGAAAUGGAUGCAUGUAUGUGAUCAAAAGUUGAAUCAUAAUACUUGUGUAGAUGUUUAGUUCCCUUUCUUUCACUCAUGGCUAUUGCUUACCCUCGUGUAAGCCGUUUGUGUAUGUUUUCGCUAGUGCUUUUCUUUGCUUGAAAAUGUACAGGUGAUGAGCCUUGGGCGGAUAGGAAAAACUCUGUCCGUUCAGCGUCUGUUUGACGUGCUCGGGCCGGCCCAAAAUGGUAUCGGUCCCGGGGCAUGACAGAUAUCGUGGUAUCAGAGCUAAGAGUGAAAGAAUAGGAAUAGACCUAGAGACCCUUAGGAUUGGAAGACCUUAAGGAUCUAGAAAACGUGAGUGACGUGGAAUUAAAGUUAGCGAAAGCAUGCGAUUGGGUUAAGUUGGGACGUCUCUAAUGUGAUUAGAGGCUAAGUUUAAUUUUCAUUUGUUUCCUACUCCUUGUUUUGUGUCGGGCGGCCGACAACAUAAUGCUUGGGACAAGAACGAAUGUAUAAGUUGCUUUCGCCGAAUUGGGUAUGGUCAAGUAAUGUUGGUCAUGUAGCUAAUGCGAGUUGCUUCUUUUUAGGAAGCAGUGGCACCUCGUGGACGACCACAGACAAGGUCGAUGCUGGAGGAGCCGAAUACGUAGCCCGAGCGAUCCGGAGCGAGUGGCGACGGAGAGCUUAGGGAGCAGAUGGCCGCGCUUAUUGGCGUAGUGCGGCAACAAGCGGAGUCUGUUCAACGCCAAGGGGAGCAGAUUCAACGGCUCCAGGAGGCCUUGGAGCAUCAGCAGGCGGCGGCCCAGGCGGGUGUCGAGCAUGUCGUGCCCUUUGUGGUAGUGCCGGGCGUGGACGAGGGAGCGGUGGCAGCAGCGGCUGUCCCAGUUACGGUAGUACCGACCGGAUUGGGAACCUCAAAUUCCGAUAGCGCGGCGGUAGAGGCGGAGCGAGAGAGCACGUUGGCGGCUCUCAUUGAGUUCAAGAAGUUCAACCCACCUACCUUCGAGGGCGGUUUGGUGGAGCCGGCGGUCGUGGAGUCGUGGAUUGACUCAAUGGAGACACUCUUCGAGGAUCUCAAUACCUCGGAGAAGGACAAAGUAUACCUCGCCACCCAUUGUUUAGAGAAGGCGGCGAUGGUGUGGUGGAAGCGAGUUAAGCGGGAUUGACCUACCGAUCUUCCGCUUAUGCUUUGGGAGGAGUUCAAGAAAGUGGUGUUUGCGAAUUACUUCCCCGAUACGGUAAAGCAGAGGUUGCAAGAAACGUUCCGCAAGUUGCGAUAGGGCGACCGAUCGGUGGGAGAAUAUGAGCAAGAAUUCUCUCACAUUAUCGACUGCGUUCCCGAUAUUGUUAGAGAUGAUCGGGAUCGGGCUGAUUGGUUCUUGCGAGGACUCCAGCUGAGGAUUUAUGAAAAUGUGCAGAUUCUGAGCUGACGACCUUUGCGGAGGUCUUUGAUAGAGCUUUGUGGGCGGAGCACGGUAGCGCCCAUGUGCGUGAAGAAAGGGAGGCUAUGGCCGAAAGCAAAGAAAAAGGCAAGAAGCGGACGGCGGGCGGUGCCGGGGGUCGGCCAAAUGCCAAGAAACCCCCUUGGUAUCCCCGACAGCAGUCAAGGAACUGGAGACCUCCUCGAUGCAUCAUUUGUGGUGGAGAGCACCGAGUGUCGACUUGCCCGCAGCGAGACGGCAAAUGUUUCAAAUGUGGCCAACCGGGACAUCUUAUCCGGGAGUGCCCGACGUGGACGUCGUCUGCGCCGACGGCGGCAUUAGCACCGUCUACCCCGAGACACUUUGCGGGGUUACCAACAGCGAUGUCGGCUGGGCGCGCGUCAUCACCGCGUCAGCCGGAGGGAUUGAGAGCGCCGAGCGGCCGAGUCUUCGCAGCUCAGGUGGAGGAGCAGCAUCCUGCAGCACCCGACGACGUCGUGGCAGGUAUAAGUGUGAUUAAAGGCACUAGAGCUAGAGCAGUGUUUGAUACAGGCGCAUCUCAUUCAUUCAUUAGCACGUCAUUUGCUAAAACUCAUGGCAUAGAGAUGGUAUACAACGAAGAUUACUGGUGGGUGAACGCCCCAAAACAUUCAUUCAGUGUCCACAACGAGUGUUUGGCGUGUCCAGUGCAAAUAGGCGAUUGGAUUAUGCCGAUUGAUCUGCUGGUGCUAGUUCAGAUGUGGGGAUUCGAUGUUAUCUUGGGGACCAACUGGCUCUCCAAGUACUAUGCGGUUAUAGAUUGUGAAAGCAAGGUGAUCACUUUUCGUGAGCCUAAUCAAGAAGAGUUGGUCUAUCAAGCGUGCAAAAGUAGGUGCUUCGCGGCGACCAUAUCGUCUGUGAGGGCGAGAAAAAUGAUCAAAGGAGGGUGUAAGGCCUAUUUGGCAACCAUGGUGGAUGCUCGAAAGGAGUACAUUGAGUUGGGGGAUAUUCGAGUAGCGUGCGAGUACCCGGAUGUAUUUCCGGCGGAGUUAUCGGGACUGCCACCGGACUGGAAAGUUGAGUUCGUCAUUGACUUGAUUCCCAGGGCGGAAUCAGUUUCGAAGGCUCCGUAUAGAAUGGCACAUGUGGAGUUAAAGGAGCUAAAAGGCCAACUACAAGACUUGCUCGAUAAAGGCUUCGUGAGGCCGAGCGUGUCACCGUGGGGAACUCCGGUGCUAUUUGUGAAGAAAAAGGAUGACUCACUUCGACUCUACUUAGAUUAUCGCGAGUUGAACAAAGUAACGAUAAAGAACAAGUACCCGUUGCCAAGGAUUGACGAUUUAUUCGAUCAGCUGCAAGGGUCCAAGGUGUAUUCGAAGAUUGAUCUCCAAUCGGGGUAUCAUCAACUAAAGAUUAGACCGAAAGAUGUGCACAAGACGGCGUACCGUACGCGGUAUGGCCAUUAUGAGUUCACGGUAAUGCCGUUUGGGCUUACUAACGCCCCGGCAGUAUUUAUGGACUUGAUGAAUCGAGUCUUCAAGCCGUUAUUGGAUCGAUGCGCCAUGGUGUUUAUAGACGACAUGUUGGUUUGCUCAAAGAGUAAAGAUGAGCACGAAGAGCAUCUGAGAGCUGUGUUGCAGAUACUCAGGCAGGAGAAGCUCUAUGCAAAGUUGAAGAAUUGUGACUUUUGGCUAAAGGAGGUCACAUUCUUGGGUCAUGUGGUAUCGGGCGACGGAGUUUCGGUAGACCCGAAGAAAGUAGAGGCAAUAAAGAAUUGGCCUCGCCCGACGAAUGUAGCGGAGAUCCGCAGUUUUCUUGGACUUGCAGGCUACUACCGGUGGUUCGUGGAGGGGUUUGCUAAAAUAACCACUCCACUAACGCGCCUCACGCAUAAAGGAGUAAGAUACGUGUGGAGCGACGAUUGCGAUCGAAGCUUCGAAGAGUUAAAGAGCAGGUUGACGUCGACCGCGGUGCUUGCCUUGCUGACUCCGGGGGAGACUUUUGUAGUGUAUAGUGAUGCUCUUAUGUUGGUCUCGGAUGUGUAUUAAUACAAAAUGGGCGAGUCAUUGCGUAUGCAUCGCGCCAGUUAAAGAGCUACGAGAAGAACUACCCGAUUCACGACCUCGAGUUAGCCGCGGUGAUCUUCGCGCUAAAGCUUUGGAGGCAUUACUUGUAUAGUGAACAUUGCGAGGUCUACACAGAUAAUAAAAGCCUAAAGUACUUGUUCACCCAGAAGGAAUUGAAUAUGCGCAAGCGGCGGUGGUUGGAGUUGUUGAAAGACUAUGAUGUCACCAUACUAUACCACCCCGGGAAAGCCAAUCUCGUGGCCGAUGCUCUAAGUAGAAAAUCAGCGAAGAACUUAGCGAUGGCAAUUACGCCUCAACCACUAUUGCAAAAGGAGAUGCAAAGGCUUGGGUUGGAAGUGGUGGCGCCGGGAGUGCCGGCUGCACUUGCCGCAUUAGUUGUGCAACCGACCCUAUUGGAAAGGAUCAAGGAGUUACAAGCUUCGGACCCUUAUCUCCAAAAGGUACGAGGUGAAGUUGAGAAUGAUAGUGCCAAGGAUUUUGGCAUUGGAGCCGACGGCACACUUCGAUUUCGAAAUCGAUGGUGUGUGCCUAAAGAUGAUGAUGUUCGAAGGGCGAUUAUGCAAGAAGCGCACCAAUCCCUUUAUAGCAUACACCCCGGCGGCACUAAAAUGUACAAGGAUCUAAAAGAGCAUUAUUGGUGGCCGGGUAUGAAGAGAGACAUUGGAGAGUUCGUGGCGCAAUGUUUAACGCGCCAAAAGGUAAAAGCCGAGCGCCGAUUUCCGGCGGAAAAGCUACAAAGUCUAUCUAUACCCGUUUGGAAAUGGGAAGAUAUAGCGAUGGACUUUAUUACUGGAUUGCCUCGAUCACAAGGCGGACACGAUGCGAUAUGGGUGAUAGUGGAUCGAUUGACAAAGUCGGCACACUUCUUGCCGAUACAUACUACGUGGUCGGGAGACAAGCUAGCUCAAGUGUAUCUCGACGAGGUUGUGAGACUUCAUGGGGUUCCGGUAUCAAUUGUAUCGGAUCGAGACCCCAGGUUCACAUCCCACUUUUGGAAGAGCUUGCAAAACGCGUUAGGCACACGGCUCAACUUUAGCACGGCAUUUCAUCCUCAGAGUGAUGGACAGUCGGAGCGGACAAUACAGAUCCUCGAGGACUUGCUUCGAGCGUGUGUGCUAGAUUACAAGGGAGGUUGGCAUGAUUUCUUGCCAAAGGCAGAGUUCGCCUAUAAUAACAGUUAUCAAGAGAGCAUAGCGAUGGUGCCAUUUGAGGCACUAUAUGGACGUAAGUGUCGUUCUCCUAUUCAUUGGAGCGACAUGGGCGAGAGAAUGGCUCUUGGCCCGGAUGUGGUAUGGGAGGCAGAAGAAAAGGUUCGUCUUGCCCGUCAACUGUUAGUGACGGCGCAAUCUCGGCAAAAGAGUUAUGCCGAUAAGCGAAGAAAGGAUUUAGAGUUCGCGGUUGGAGACCGCGUAUUUUUGAGAGUAUCGCCGAUGCGAGGAGUUAAACGUUUUGGGGUCCAUGGGAAGCUAAGUACCCGUUAUGUUGGACCAUUCGAGAUAUUGGAGCGUGUGGGUGCGGUAGCGUACAAGCUCGCAUUACCACCGAGACUCGCGGGAGUUCAUAAUGUUUUUCAUGUGUCAAAUCUCCGAAAGUAUAUCCGAAACUCGGCACAUGUGUUGGAGUACGAGCCCGUGGAGUUACGUGAGGAUAUGUCUAAUGAGGAGUACCCGGUGUGCAUCCUCGAUCGAGAAGAAAGAAAGCUGCGGAGUCGCAGAAUUCCUUAUGUGAAGGUCUAAUGGAGCAAUGAUGCUGUGCGAGAAGCCACUUGGAAGCUCGAGGAGACCAUGCGGAGAGAGUAUCCGCAUCUAUUUGAGUCGACAAGUUAAGGUAUGCGUAAUUUCGCGUACGAAAUUAUUUUAAGGGGUGGAGAAUGUAAUAUACCGAAAAUUCGAAAAAUAAAUAUCGAACUUUAAUCAAAUUGACCAAAGUGCGAGGAUGGUACACUUCGGAAAGUCCGAAGGUGUUAAAAUAAUCAAAAGGGCGUUAUGGAAGGUUUUCGAGAGCUAGAGAAUCAAAAAUCUGCAAACUGCAGUUUUUGAGCUCUCGGGGACCGGUCCCUGGUGGGAGAGAUCGGUCCUCGAACGCAUGAGAAAUGAGAAAGGCCAAAAAUCGGCUGAGUCCUAGAAAACCAGCUCUCGGGAACCGGUCCCUGCGGGGAGAGACCGGUCCCCGAGAGACCGGUCCCCCAGUGAGAGACCGGUUGCAUCGCGUGUGCGCCCUGCUGCCCGCGGGGAGAGCUCUCUGGGACCGGUCCCAAGUCGGGGAGACCGGUCCCCGAGCCCGAAAUCUGCCCAGUUUGAGCAGUUUAAUAAAAUAAAAGCUGAGGGGCCUAAUUGCAAUUAUGCAACCCAUAGAAUGAAAUAGGAGGGGAUAUGAGAUAUUUCUCUCAUUCUCACCCUCUCACACUCUCUCAUCUCUCUUUCUCUCUCGAGAAGACAAAGAAGAGAAGAAAGGAAAGGAAAGAAAGAGAAGAAGAAGGAGAAAGAAAGGAAAAGAAAGGCAAGGAAGGUGGAGAGGAAGCCAUUGGAGUGAAGCUAUCUCCUCUUCUUCCCCUUUUGAGCAAGCUUAGAGGUAAGCCUUGCCCCUUUUCAUGAUAAAUCCCAAACUAGGGUUUAGGUAAGCUUAGAAUUGGGUUUUAUAGAACCUUUUGAGCCUUUGAAGCUUUCUUUUGCUUCUUAUAGAGAUCUACACCAUGGGUGGUGUGUGUGGUGAAGUUUGAAGGAGAGUUUCAAUCCCUCUCAUGGUAGAAUCCAAACUAGGGUUUGGAUUGAACUAAAGAUGGCUUUAAUGGACUUCCUAGAGUAGAAUAAAGUUUCUUUUGCUUCCCAAUGAGAUCAAACCCUAGGUUUGAUAUAUGCUAUGGAGCUAGGGCACCCAAACUGGGGCUUUUGCUUGCGAGGGUUCCAAAGUGAAAUUGACCCACUAGACACCUAAUUGGGGGUAUUUCCGACGCGUUGGUGCACUCGGAUUAAAGUUACGAAAAGUCUAUAAAAAGUUAUGGGCAAAAUGGCCUAAGUUGGCUUCGUUUUCCCGCAGGUGAAGAACGAGGAGUCUAAAAAUUCCAAGAAAAUCAUCGGAGCAUCUUUGAGAACCUACGAGGUGGGUGGUGCUAUCCAAACUCGUUGAACUUCCUUCUAUGCCUAAUGUGUCAUUCAAUUGAGCAUAUGUUAUAUACAUUGUUGCAUGCAUUGUAGGGAAAAUGUGAUGAGAGUAAUGUGAUGUUGCAUAUUGUGAGUACAAUUUGCCUAAUGAGAUGCUUGAGAACUCCUAUGAAUGUUUAAUCCUAUGUAUGCAUGAGAUAAAAUGUGAGCACUAAAGUGAGGCAAAAGAACAGAGUGACACAAUGAGACAGAUCGAGUGGCAUUCGAUAAUGUAAAGUAAAAUGACACUAGAGUUAGUGUGAAGUAAAGAAUCAAUGUGAUGUAAAGACUAAUAACAAUGACUAAAGUUAAUGUAAAGUGGGGCAUAAAGAACAUGCAAAGAGUAAAGUACAUGAUUGCUAGAGAUAGCCAAAAGUAAAGGAAUGUAAAGAAUCAUGAUUGCUAGAAUAGCAACAUAAAGUGAUGAAAAUAACACUAGAGUUAGUGUAAUGACAUGAUUGAACUUAUAAUCCUUAGAGUUAAGGAUUCGAACAUACUUGCUAUGAAUUUAUUCUUGACAAUGUGUUUACUGUCAAGAAUAAAUUAAUACCAGCAGCUGUGCCGCAUCGUGUGCCCCGCUGUGGCACCACAAUGAGUUCCAGCUCUCAAAACGCCAUUCCUUCAAAUCAAUUGAUAGUAAAUGCCAAUGGCAAUUACUAUGCAAAGGAAUAAGUACAAAUCUAUUCUUGCUGCAGGUAUGUGCAAUUAUUUUUUCCAGAAAGUGUCGUAUAGAUGCAGAUCCAAAAGCCACAUCCUUGACAAAAUCAGCUGUUAGUGCCUCAUCCUUUCCAAUUUCCUGCAUCAUAUUGAGUACGUGCAUCUGCAUUGAAAAAGGAAUCAAGUUAGCAAGAUGCCUGACGAAAAGUUGCAGGAAACUCAAAUGCAAUUAUUUCGACGGUUAAUAUUUUCACAGAUUAUGGAACAUGACCUAAUAAAUAAUGUUCAACAAAUUGGGAUUCGGACUUCAACAGAUUUUUAUCUUCCAUUUUAACUCGCUUUUAUAUUUAUUUUAGUUUGCUUGAUAGGAAAAUAGAGAAUAAGCGAGAAAUAGAGAACAACUAAUCUAAUAGUGAAAGCAUCAAACUCACCGCAACUUCACUUUGGCAGAAAAUACCAGGUUGACUAAAUUUAUGUACACCCAUGCAAUCCAGCUUAUCAAUUAUAUGAAAAUACACAUUAAUCACCUAAAUAAGAAAGUCAGCAAAAUAAAGAGAAUCAGAAUAUAAUAUAAAUAUAUAUAUAUAGAGUUCGGCUACUAUGCUAUCGGUAGCACAGAGCGCUCCGUGCUACCAAGUUGUUUUCGAUGAUGCGGCUUCUGAAUCGACGAUCGGCUCCGUUAGACUUGAUCUACAGUAUUGAAAGUAUUUGGAAACUAAAUUUCAAAUUUUUUCGACAUCAUUUGACUAGUGAUCAAAAGAUCUCAAAAUUGACAAUUUUAAUGGCCGAUGUGGUGUGUUUGUGAGUUUAACGGUGUAAAACAAUCCAAAUGGGAUGAAAAUUUUAUAGAAAAUUCUUUUCACUACUUAGAGUAAGAUCACUAUAUCUAAUUUUGAAUUUAAAUCUUUUAUCAUCAUUUUUUAUGAGAUUUUUAUUUUCAGCCGUUCAAUUUUAGACUACUUGUUUGAUAGGUAAAUGAUAUCGAAAAAUUAUGAAAUUUAGUUUCUAAAUACUUUCAAUGUGGUAGAUCAAGUCUAAGGAAGCCAAUCGUCGAUUUGGAAGCCGCAUCAUCGAAAAACAACUUGGUACCACAGAGCGCUCCGUGCUACCGAUAGUAUAUAGGCUAGCUCUUCUAUCAUAUAUAUAUAUGAUAUAUAUAUAGCUAUAUAAUAGAUACAUAUAUAUGUAUACAUGUAUAACAUCGUACAUCGUAUACCGAUGUAAAUACAUGUACAUCGUAAAUACAUGUAUACAUGUACAUGUAUACAUGUAUACACCUGGUACUGUAUACUGUUAUGUAUAUGUAUGUAUAUAUAUAAUGUACACAUGUAUAUAUUAAUACAUGUAAUUAUACAUGUAUACGAUGUAUAUAUAUACAUGUAUAUAUACAUGGUAUGACAUGUAUAUAUACAUGUAUAUCAAGUAUCAUAUACGUACCAGUACAUAUAGCAUACCAUAUACACUACAUGUAUACAAUGUAUAUGAGUGGUACAUGUAGUACAUAUAUUACACUGUACACUAUAAUACAUGUACUACAUGUAUGUAUCUGUAUGUAUAUGUAUGUAUAUAUAGGUAUAACGGCCGCUGUCCAUGUUAUCACAUGUCAUACAUGUACUACAUGUACAUGUAUACAAGUGUAUAAACCUGUAACAUAUAUCAUAGUAUAUAUAUUGUACAUAUACUACAUAUAUAUAUAUACUUUAUACAUGUACUAUAUGUACAGAUAUCAUGUAUAUAUGUACAUCUAUAUAUCCUAUAGUAGUGUAUUUUAUUAUAUAUAUAUAUAUAUAUAUUAAUAUAUAUAUUAUAUAAUUAGUAUGUAUAAUAUGUAUGUAUGUAGUAUAUAUAUAUAUGUAUGUAGUGUAUGUAUGUACUUGUAUGUAAUGUGUAUGUAAUAUAUAUAUAUACAUGUAUGUAAUAUAUAUAUAUACAUACACAGUACAUACACAUCAAUACCAUACAUACACAUACAUUACUAUAUAUACUAUAACAUACAUAUAUAACCAUUAUAACAUGACAUAAUAUUAUAUAGUAUAUAUACCAUACGAUGUAAUAUAUGUACUAUAUAUAUAGUAUACAUACAAUACUACACUAUACAUACAAUACAUACAUCAUAUAACAUACUACAUAUAUAAACGAUACAAUAUACAUACAUAUAUAUGUAUAUUGUAUAUGUAUAAUAUAUGUAUAUAUAUGUAUAUGUAUAGUAUAUGUCUGUAUACAUAUAAUACUACUAUAUAUAUAUAUAUAUAUAUAUAUAUAUAUAUAUAUAUAUAUAUAUAUAUAUAUAUAUACAUACAUAUACAUACAUAUACAUAUAUAUACAUAUAUAUGUAUAUAUGUAUAUAUGUAUAUAUAUAGUGUAGGUCUUGUGUGCUAUUAGGAGUACGGAGGCCUUCGUGCUCCUAAGCUGUUUUCGAUGAUGGAGCUUCCGAAUCGACGAUCGGCUCCGUUAGAUUUGAUCUAGCGUAUUUGAAGUAUCUAGAAAAUAAAUUUUAUGAUUUUUUGAUAUCAUUUACCUAGCGAUCGAAAGGGUUCAAAAUCAACGGCUGAAAUUAAAAAUAUCACAAAAAGCGGUGAUAUAGCACUAAAAUUUUCAAUCUGAGAUAUUGAUCUUGCUGUAAAUAGUAUAAAGAAUUUUCUAUCAAAAUUCCAUCUGAUUUGAAUAUUUCUACACCGUUAAACUUGCAAACGGUAUACAUCAACCAUUAAAAUUUGUUGAUUUUAAACCUUUUCGAUCACUAGGUAAAUGAUAUCGAAAAAUCGCAAAAUUUAUUUUCUAGAUAUUUCAAAAUACUAGAUUAAGUCUAAUGGAGCCGAUCGUCGAUUCGAAAACUCUAUCAUCGAAAACGACUUAGGAGCACGAAAGCCUCCGUGCUCCUAAUAGCACACAAGACCUACUCUCUCUCUCUCUCUCUCUCUCUCUCUCUCUACAUAUAUAUAUAUAUAUAUAUAUAUAUAUAUAUAUAUAUAUAUAACAAGCUUCAAGUGCUAAGUACAAUACAUAAUCUGUGACGGCACUAACCUCGUCGCGCGUCGGGCCUCCAAAUAAGUAAUCAAGGAGGACUUGACUGCUAACAGAAGACGAAUCUAACCCUUUCAUAUCAUCUUGCCAUAUGGGUCCCCUAUUCAAAAAAUAAAAUAUGUAACAAUACAUUAGAAAAGAAUUGCUAAAUAGUUAAGCUCGAAUAUUUUACCAAUUAUAUUUAAUGCUAACUAACCACUACAUGUACAUAAAGAUUGACGAACUUUGUAGUAGGUCGGAAUAUUAGAAAAUUUAUUGCAUCCCGCUCAUCUUUGGGAAUAUUAUCUCUUCCGGGGUAGUUGCGAUGAUGCUCAAUAAUUAACCCAGGCAACUCAACCGGCGCAUGGAUAUCAUCUAUCUCAACAGCUGGUAAUGCACUUUCUGAUUGUCCAAGUUCAGUUUUCAUUUCCUAUUAUGAACCAAAUCACGUGCAAAAGUCAUAUUUUAUAUGAUAUAAGUUUAUUCACACUAAAAUUAAUCAAUUACAUCAUAUAUUACCAUAAGGACCUCUGCAAUGGUCCCUGACACGGUAUUUGAUGCAUCUUCACCAGCUUCGACCCCCCCGAUCUUCAAAGGAUGCCGCUGCUUUCUUCUAUAAUGGCGAGUCAUACGACGUUCGCCCGGCGUAAAAUCAGGGGACAUUCUUUUCUGUUUCCUUUCACGCCCUUUAAGUCGUUCAAUUCUAGAAGGAAUGUCCCUUAUUACAGUAUCGCCAACAUCCACUCUCUGUUGGCUGCUUUCUUCAACCACUGUGCCUUAGCCACCUUGAGGUGGAUCAACACCGGCUUCGGCUCCGCCUUCUACAGCAGUAGCUGUGGUGGCCCUAGAGAGUUGCACUUCCAGAUUGGCAUCCUUUUCUUUUAACAUCGCAUUCUCCUCUUCCAAAAACUUAUUCCGAUCUUCUAGUUUAUUUACAGCUUGCUCCAAUUUAUUCAAUAAGGAGCUGAUAUUAUUGCUACUUUCACCAACAGUAGCUGUUUCCAGGGGGCCGCUGCUUGUACCACCUUUGAGAGAAAUGUACGAAAGGACAAUAUCAUAUUUUGACAAAAAAAACUCUAACCAAAUAAUAUUUUCUACUAACUAAAUUCAGCAAUACCUAUUCCGGUAGACUGCCAUGUAACGUACGGUUAAUUAUUGAGAUAUCAUUAAAGCGGUAGGUAAAUGUGGGUACAACCUGCCAUAAAGAUAAAUCUAUUUAAUAAGUAUUAUAAGAAAAUUUUAUAAAACUACAUUCAUUACAUAAAUAAUUACCUCUGUAGGAGUAUAGCUCUGCAGUUUUUUUAGGAGCUUCUUGUAACUCCUAUAGGCUCUUGAACCCUUCCAUUUUCUCAUCCGAGGGAUAGCCUUGUCUCCAUCGGAAUUACCCAACUCCUUUAUAUGCUCGUAAGCCCAACUCUACAAGUUUAUCAUGAUUUAACAAUAUUAUUAUCAUAAAAAAAAGUGCAAAAGAAAUUAUAUUGACAUACUAAUUUAUGAUAUUACUUACCAGAAAUGCUAUUGUACAGCUGUCGAUAUAGCCGCCAACUCUUUCUUGGCCGCUAUUUCGACGCUUCACACAUGGGGAGGCUCUGGAGAUCAAACUUACAAGAUAAUUACAUACAACAUGACCCCAGGCAUAUUCCCCUAUUCUAUGUAUAUUAUCUAUAUAUCUAUAUAGUCCUUUCGGCACAUUAUAGUGGCUGGUAGGAAAGAGGAUGGUCGCAAAUACGUAUAAUAUAAAUAUACGAACAAAAUCAGCUGCCAUCUCCUUUCCAUUUUGACCAGCAAGACUGUACAAAAUAUGUCGUAAUUUUGACCUAUCGGCAUGCUGAUAGUCACUAUUCAAGUAUUUAUCAAGAGUGCUCGAUUUUACACCCUUGUUCUGCCAUUCUAUUGGUUCCCCCUGUGCUGGCAGCCCUACCGAAAUGGAGAUCUCCUCUGAAAUAAGGGGAAGAAAGGUUUCUCCAAUUCUUAUACCUCUUCUCUCUUCGUCCAAAUAACUGAGGAGGGAAUCGACUAACACAAGAUCUUGCUUAAUUGGAGGCAAGUCGAGAUAAAAAAAGAAUAGAGUAGUCUUCAGAAGUGUCAUCUGUUCAUCGGACAUAACAUCAUGUAACGCUGGGCCAGCUGUCUGAAAUCUGCCCACAGUCUUCGGCAACACUGAAACACACAUUGUGGUGUGCAGAUGAACUGGGUAAGAUCUGCCCACAACAAGCUCGAUGGUCAGCCUUUUAGCUUUGGAUGGCCUACCUGUUCUUUUCUCUGCAGAAUGCGAAGAUGUGCCUUGACCACUUGUAGUGGCCUUCUUGCCCGACCGGCUUGACGACUUCGCUCUGGUGGAAACCAUGUUUUCAACUGCAUUUUAUUCAACACAAGUCAGCACAUAACUUCAUUCUAAAAGUAACUAAAAAAUAAAUUAAUUAUGUUCAUCCUAUGAAUGCAGAAUAUGGCAUAAAAGUGUUCUAUUAAGAAUGCAAACGCAUACAUGUUCGCAAUAGAGUAGGAAUGCAAACCUAUUAAGAGUGUUCUAUUAACCUUUACAAGUGUUCUAUUAUGGCAUAAAAGUGUUCACAAUUCUAAAGCUGAUAGGACUGUUCUAUUACACCAUAAAAGUGUUCUACUAUGUGAUAAGAGGGUAAGAUUGCAACGCAUAUAUGUUCGGAAGCAUAAAAAUAAAAAAAGUGAUAUACAUGCAGUGUAUAAUAGAGUAAGAUUGCAAUGCAUACAUAUGAGGGUAAGAUACAUGUUCGCAAUAGAGUAGGAAUGCAAACCUAUUAAGAGUGUUCUAUUAACCUUUACAAGUGUUCUAUUAUGGCAUAAAAGUGUUCAUAAUCCUAAAUCUGAUAUUACUGUUCUAUUACACCCUAAAAUUGUUAUAUUAUGCGAUAAGAGGGUAAGAUUGCAACGCAUACAUGUUCGGAAGGAUUAAAAUGAAAAGAGUGAUAUACAUGUAGUGUAUAAUAGAGUAAGAUUGCAAUGCAUACAUAUAAGGAUAAGAUUCAUAUUCGCAAUAGAGUAGGAAUGCAAAUCUAUUAAGGGUGUUCUAUUAACCUUUACAAGUGUUCUAUUAUGUCAUAAAAGUAUUCACAAUCCUAAAGCUGAUAGGACUGUUCUAUUACGCCCUAAAAAUGUUCUAUUAUGCGAUAAGAGGGUAAGAUUGCAACGCAUACAUGUUCGGAAGCAUAAAAAUGAUAAUAGUGUUCUAUUAAGCUGUAAGAGUGUUCUUUUAUGGCAUAAGAGUGAGUGUCAGAUUGUCAAGCAUACAUGUUCGCAAACACAAAUUGUAUAAGAGUAUUCUACUAAGAGUGUUCUUUUAUCGCAUAAGAGUUUAAGAUUGCAACACAUAUAUGUUCGCAAGCACAAAAGUGAUAAAAGUGUUCUUAUAAGCUCUAAGAGUGUUCUUUUAUGGCAUAAGAGUGUCAGAUUGCAACGCAAACAUGUUCACAGCCAACUAUACAUAUACAAAUACAAACACAUUAAUUAUUAAUACAAAUAUACAAGUAUGCUAUUUCGUUUCAACCAGUGUAGCAAACUAACUCCUAAAACUAUAUAGCACCGUUCUACCAAUGCAUAAGAGAAUAUACUAGUAACCCUAAACAUGUUUUCUAUACCUUUUUGUUAUUCAAACGAAAUCAAACUUUACCCUAAACAUUAAUUUGUAUAUUUGGAAUGAAUACAGUUUUCUAUCAUAAACCAAGCAAAAUUUUAUGAAAUGCAUGAAAUAUAUGUGUGUUACUGUGGAAGCAUCUUCUAAACCCUAAACCCUAAUCCUAAUCAUAAAUCUUUUAUUUUUAAAAAUGCAACAAAAAAUAUAAUAUACCAGCAGUGUUCUAAAAAAAAUGAAUCAGCUAGUCGGUGACGUAAUCCGGAGCACGCAAAGACAAACUGAAGUUGCAACCCUAAACCCUCAAAAUAUAAAUUUUAUAUUAAAUUAAAAAUUAAAAAUAAAAGAUUAUAGGAAUUUAAAAAAUUCCCUGUUUGAGUUGAAUCCUCUGCUUCGGUUGUGGCCGAAUUAGCUCUGAAAUCAUUCCCAAUUUCGUACGCCCACGAGUGAAGGAAUGCAUAACAGGUACUGGGAUGGACAUGGGAGCAGUUGAGAGGCGACCUCCUACCAAUGGAGAGAGGUGAGGGCGAGAGACACCUUCGAGAUGGCUUGGGACAGGAGCUUCUGCCGAGGAAGAUAAUGUGUGGAAUGAGCGCUGCCGAACUUUUGCCCGAUGGAGUGCCCUGCGAGCGAGAGAGAAAGAGAGGAGAGCAAGAGAGCAAGAGAGAGGCGAGGAAGCGAGAGAGAGAUGAGGGAGCAAGAGAGAGCGAGAAACAGAGAUAGCGAGAGGGAGGUGUGCGGGAGAGAGAAGUGUAGUAGUAGGGUUUGGGUUAGCUUUAGCAAGAAAUAAAAACGGGAGUGAACUUAGCUGCUACUGUGCUAGUGCCCAAAUAUCAGCCGUCGGAUCCCAAGGGUGUAGGAUGUACACCUUCCUAAAGGAGUCCAGCUAGACUUUUCCAUUUUUAUAUGGUGAUUAGGAUUAUAUAUGGGAAAUAAAAAAAAGUGAAGUUGUUAGGAUUAUAUAUGGAUUAUUAGAAUUUUUAUUUGAUUAUUAGAAUUAUAUGAAUAGAUUAUUAGAAUUUUUUGGGGAAACUUCAAAUACCCCCCUAUGGUUUCGUACUUUCUCACUUUAGUACCCUGUGGUUAAAGUGUAUUAAGUUAGUACCCUAUGGUUUCGUACCUUCUCACUUUAGUACCCUGUGGUUUCAAGUAUAUCAAGUUAGUACCCUGUGGUUUCACACUUUCUCACUUUAGUACCCUAUGGUUUAAUAUUUCGUUAAAUUAUAUACCCUGAAAUGGAUAAUAAAAAGAAAAAAUUAAAACUACAGGGUACUAACUUGAUACAAAAAUGAAACCACAGGGUACUAGCUUGAUACACUUGAAACCACAGGGUACUAAAGUGAGAAAGUGUGAAACCAUAGGGUACUAGCUUGAUACACUUGAAACCACAGGGUACUAAAGUGAGAAAGUGUGAAACCAUAGGGUACUAGCUUGAUACACUUGAAACCACAGGGUACUAAAGUGAGAAAGUGCGAAACCACAGGGUACUAACUUGAUACACUUUAAACCACAGGGUACUAAAGUGAGAAAGUGCGAAACCACGGGGGGUAUUUGAAGUUUCCCCAAUUUUUUUUGUUGUUAAGAUUGUAUCAGAUUUGCUGAAAUUUUUAUUUGGUUGUUAUGUUUAUAUGAGAAAUAAAGAGAAAGAGAAAGACCGUGAAUGAAUCAUCGCUUUUAUAAAAAAUUAGAUAGACAGUGAAUCAUUUACCGCUUUCAUGAAGACAGUAGACGUCAUUAAGAGAAAAUUUUAUCUUGACUCCUACAUAGAGAAAAUUUCAUCUUGAAUCCUAUACGGUAAAAAGAGAGUUAGUUUGCCAAUUAUAUUUUUAUAAAAUUAUUUAUUUCAUUAAGAAAUUUUAUAGGGUUAUUUAAAAAAAAACGGCUGGCUAGACGACUCAGCGGGCUUUUUUUGCAAAUGGCCCACCGAAAAAAUUUUAUUUUAAAACUAGCCCCAAUAAAUUUAUAAUUACAAAAAUAGUCCUAUCCCUGCCAUGCAGGCGCCACGCAAGCACCAGGUGGGCGGGUUGGGAGCCUGCUUGGCAAGUUGAAUAUGGUGAAUCAAACACGGUGAAUGGUUCGUGUUUUAUAUUUAUAGUCCUCUUCUUCUCUAUUAGAGAUGUCAACGGCUCAGGUUUGGAUCGUGUUUUCAAAAAUCCGAGUCCAAAUUCGAAAAUCAAAUUAAAACUCGAAUCCGAAUCCGAACCCGGCGGGUUUUAAAAAUCCAUACCGAUAUCCAUACCCGACCAAAAACCUGAAACCCGAACCCGGACCUGAACUCGGCGAAUUUUAUAUAAAUUAUUAAAUAUUUUAUAUAUUGUAUAAAUAAAUAAAAAUAAAUUAUGCAUAUAAAUAAUUUAUUCGGGUUUGGGUUCGGAUAAUAUUCUGGAUAUCCAUACCCAUUGAUAUCCCUACUCCCUAUUUCUCUUUUCAAUAUUUAAAUUGCGAAUAAUACAUAUUUUCUCCAGACACGGUAAACCAUUUACCGUGUUUGGACAUGCUGAAUGGUUCACCGUGUUCAACUUAACAUCUUGACCUAGUCCCGCUUGCGUGGUGCUGACGUGGCAUAUGCUUGGAAGGGUCAGGACAAAAAAUGCAAAUAUAAAUUUGCUGGGGCUAUUUUUAAAAUAAAUUUUCUGUAGGGGCUAGAUGCAAAAAAAGCCCCGACUCAGCCUUUUACUAGGGAUGCAAACGGAUUCGAGUUGGUGGAGCUCCCGCCCCGAUCCGCCCAGACGGGGCAGUAAAUGGGAGAAAAUAAAUGGAUUCGGGGCGGAAAAAGACGGAUUUGGGGCAGGAAACGGGAAAAAUUUUGACCCGCCCCGAAUCCGUCCCGCCAUGAUCCGCCCCGAAAAUUAUUUAUAUUUUAAAAAAAUAUUCCUAAAAAUUAAUGUAUUUACAAAAAAGUUCAAAAUACAAAUAAAUUAGCACUCUCAUUUCUAUGUAUUUGAAACUUUUGAAUUUUGUUUUGAAUUGUGAUUGCUAUUUUUUAUUUUUAUAAUUAAUAUUGUUAAAUUAUAAAUAUAAUAUUAUUAAAAAUUAUUAAUUUAUAUUUUACAGAAUAUUAAUAAUAUUAUAAUUUUAUAAAAAAUAUUAGUUGGCGGGGCAGAUUCGGGGCGCCGACGGGAGGCGGGUUAUAAGGCGGGACAGAUUAUGGGAUGUAUUUUUUAAGUCUGUCACAAAUUCGGGGCGGAAGGCGGGAUCUAUGUUAGUAAAUUCGUGAAUUAUUCGCGAAUUUUUGAAAAAACGAAUUAAACGACCGAAUUUGUAUUUUUCCCAAAAAUUCAGAAAAAAACGUGAUUUUUUUAAUAAAAAAAACGUAUUCGCGUAUUAUACGCGGGUUGAAUAAUUCGGAGCGAAAAAAACGCAGCCCGCUUGCGCUCCUGCGAGGCCCGCGCGCCCGCGAGGCCUGCGAGGCCCGCGCGCGCCUGCAAGGCCCGUGAGGCCUACGAGGCCCGUGCGCGAGGCCAGCGCGCGCCUCGAGCGCCUCAAGCGCCCGUACCUUGAUCCUUAUUAAUUAACUUAAUUUAAUUAAGUUACAAAAAAAAAACUCUUAAUUUAAUUACAGGAUUUUUUUUUUCAAAUUUUUUACUUAAUUAACUUAAUUUUGUAUCUUUUUAUUCUUAUAUUUUUAAGAAAUAUGAGUAUUUAUACUAAUAACAUAAAUCUUGAGAGAAAAAAAAUUUAAUUUAAUAGCCGAAUUUUUAAUCCCGAAUUUUUAAUUGAUGAACAUAUAAUAUCCGUAUAAAUCACGUAUUCGAAUGUAAUUGGGAAUCUUAUUUUUUUAGUCAUAUUUUUUAACGAAUUUAAAAUUUAGAAACGAAUUUUAUACGAAUUAUAACCGUAUCGAAUUUUGUCGAAUCCGAAUUAACUAACUAUUAUGGGCGGCCAGGCGGGUUUGAAUUUUCUAGUGGGGCGGAGGCGGGGAGGCGGGCGGGGCUCCGCCCCUAGAUCCGCCCCGUUUGCAUCCCUAUCCUUCACCGUUGCCCCAAUCCUCCACGUCGUCCCGAAUCACACGGGGGCAGCUCGUCUCGGCAUCUCUGCCCUCGUCUCUAGUCGCCCCCUCUUCGCGAGCGCGGGAACUGCCCUUGUCCCUUACGUUUCCUUCAAUGGCAUCGGCGUUUUGGAGAAGCUCUGUCCGGAGGAUCUCCAAGUCGGUUCUUGAGCCGUUGAUCCAUCGGCGGAGGUGGUAUUCGAGCAAGCCCCGGCGAUUCGCGGCUCUUUGGGGGAAUGGGGACUACGGGAGGUUAGGGCUCGGGAGCCUGGAGUCGCGCUGGAAGCCCACUGUGUGCCCCUUCUUCCGCGAUGAUCACCCGGUCUCCAUCGUGUGCGGUGGUGCCCACACCUUGUUCCUUACUGGUAUCAAUUCCAUUCCCCUCUUUCCAACCUAAGUCUUGUUCGCUACAUUCUUUUCCUCAUAUCUGUUGUGCACGAAAGGAAAAAGAAAUAAAGCAGAUUUGUAAAUUUCUAGUCAAAGCAUAUCAGUUCUUUUCAUCAUGAUUUGAGUUUUCUAUCUGGCUUAAAUCGAUUAUUAUUUUCAUUCAGAUUCGACCGACGAUCUUGCAUAUACCGUUUUGAAGUUGAUACCUUAAACAUUUUUUAAUUUGAUUUACCCAUCACAACUUACUAACCAUUUAUUAGUAAUUUUAGAAAUUCUGAUAGAAUCAACUGCCCACAAGAGAUAUAUGUGACCUUCUUUCUGACUGAAACAAUUCUUGAUGUCGAGCAUCUCUUAUGGGUGAAUUACAAAAAUUGCUAACGUUAGGAACUAAAUCAAACUUAGUAAGUAGAGGGGGUGUAAAUCAAAUUUAAAAAAGUUCAGAAGGUCAAUUUCAAAAUGGUUAACCUUUAGGACGUGUCUAUACUUUUUAACCUAAAAAAUUUCGAUCUGUUUGGUUAAGUGAGUGACUAUGUUGCGUAUAUAAAUUAUUUGAAUGUUACACCCCAAAUCCGAGACAUAACAGAUGCCGCAUAUAUGCAAUUAUUUAAUCACAGACACGCUAGGCAACAAGACAUGUAGAUAUCGAGCAAAAUAUUCAUCUCGAAAUCAUACUAAAUAGUUAUCAGAUUUGAAAUCCACAAAACUAAAUCUAUGGCUGAAAGUUCCACAAAUACUCAACAAACUAAAUUCAUAAGAUUUCGCAAUAAUUCUAACAAAGCAAAUAUACUUUAUGCCAGUCCCAAAUUAAAUUUUAAGCUAACUAAACUAUCUAAUUUUAAUAACUAUAAUUCAAAAACAAAAGGAAUCUCUGCAAUUAGCGAUCUCUUGGUCGCAUUCCCCACAAGUUCAUCAGACUUAGUACCUGAGUAAGCAACCACACGCUACAUUAGUUGGAUUAAGCAUGCAACAAAAUGUUUUCUAAAUAUUCAGAUAUAAUUCUCAUACUAAAAAUAUGAUAACGAUGAUUGGGUUUAGCAAAGUUUCACAAAUCUCAUUUCAAAAGUUUGAGUUCCCAAGUAAGCAUAUUUUACAAAGAACAAACAGGAACGGAAUUUAAACAAAAGCAUUUUUAUUCUACAUUAGAAUUUAAAAUGAUAGUCUCUUGUAACUAGGGACUUGUUAGCAAAGUCCUAAACACACAUCACAGGCGCCUGAAGGCACAAUAGCAAAGCAAAACCACCCGAAAGUGUAUUUAAAUAGCAUUUGAAGGUGCAUCACAAAAUCGAAGCUAGCUUCUAUUAUAAAAUUCAUGUCUACAAGGCCAACAUAGUUAUAGCAAAAUACCAAGAGACGUCACAUUUUGGGAUUAUUUAUGCAGUCAACAUUUAAAAGAGAGCAAGUUAUCGAAUACUAAAUUUUUACCAAAUAAGCACAAUUUCUAAAAUACACAUUUUUUGAAAGUGCACAACAAUUAGAGCAAAACCUUUUAGAAAUCAUAUUCUUUCAACAAUUUGUAAUGUAUAUAAACAUGCUUAACCUUUAUUUUCAAAAGAAAACUAUGCAAAAGGGAUUUUGUUUAUUACCAUAACAUAUUUCUAUAAUUUUACCAAAAUUUAAACUAAUGGGUGUUUGGUCACUUAUCACCGAAUGAAUUUGAGUGUUGCUCGGUUAAAUGUGAAGUACCAAGAAUUGAAUUGGAAUACUAUUGAUAGCAAACGGGCUCUGUUGCUACCCAUUUUUUUUCGAUAAUGGAGCCUCCAAAUCAACGAUCGGCACCGUUGAAUAUGAUUUAUACCACUUGAAGUAUUUAGAAACCAAAUUUUAAAUCUUUUCGACAUCAUUGGCCUAAUGAUCAAAAGGCUUCAAAAUUUAUAAUUUUAAUGGCCGAUGUGAGGUGUUUUCUCAUUUAACGGUGUAAAGAUAUCCAAAUCAAUUGAAUUUUGGUUAGAAAAUUCUUUAAACUAUUUAGAACAAGAUCUAUACUCUCGAUCUUGAUUACAAGAUUCCUAUCAUCACUUUUUAGAGGAUAUUCAUUUUCAGCCUUUCAUUUUUGUGUCCGCUUGAUGGACAAGAGAAUGAUAUCGGUAAAGUUUGAGAUUUGAUUUCUAAAUGCUUCAAGUGGCAUAGAUCAUGUUCAACGGUACCGAUCAUCAAUUUGGAGGUUCCAUCAUCGAAAACAAAUAGGUGGCAAUGGAGCCCAUUUGCUACCGAUAGCAUUCCAACUCAACUCCAAGUACCAAAUUAAACAACAGGACUUUUUUGAAGACGGUGAAUGAAACGUGGUUGAAUAGGAUGAUGUUGACUGCAAUCCAAAUAGUGUCGAUGACGACCGAAAAAUGUGGCAACGACCAGGAACAACGAUGAUAACGUCGGAGAACGAGGAGAAGCAAGAGGCUUAGCGCGCACGCAUAAGAGAGAGAGAUAGAGAGAGAUGCGCAUGGGGGGUGAGAGAGAGAGAAGCGGCUGGGGUUGGGGGGUGUACGGAUAAGAGAAAAAUAGAGAUUUCCUAUAUUAAUUAGGUUGAAGGCCAAUUUGCACACGAAGUCCCAAAGUUUAUAAGUGUGAUGCUUCGCUUCCCGAGGGUCACCUAUCCUAAAAGUACUCUAGCUCUAGUAUGAUUAACCCUUUUAACCUCUUGGGUCUAGCCACUGCGCAACACGUUAUAGUUGGGUUAAGAAGUUUAGUUUUAUUAUAUCUUGUAUAGGACUAUUCUAAAUCCUAUUCAAAUCCUGACGCCCUUGUCAGGCUCAAGCACACUCAUAAGCAUAAGAAAAUGUAAGGCUCAUCUUGCUAGUCUUAGCCAGCCUUGUGGGGAGCGACAUCCCACCCACAACGGUUGUUAGCUAGGGAGCUACGCUCUAUCCAUUGUACGGCCAUAGCUCAGCCAAGACUCAUGUCACACUUUUGGCUGAUGAUUGGCUCUGUUAUCAAUUGUGACGCCCUGCUUCCUAUAAGGAGCACCCAUCCUAGAACUAUCUAGUUUUAGCACACUUAACCCUCUUAACCUCUUGAGUCUAACCACGGCCCAACAUUCUAUAGUCGGGUUAAGAGGUAUAGUCCUAUUAUCUCGUAUAUAGGACUAUUCUAAAUCCUGAGAGUGUUACAAUAAAUGAUGCAAAAUAAUCCAAAUUAAUUAAUAAAAUAAAAGUAUGGGGAAUUAUAUUAUCUUUGGAAUGAUAUUUUCCAAGGUUUAAAGUGCCGUGGCACGGUGGAGUGCCGUUACGUCCCUGGCACGGUACGGCACGGGCACGCUUGCGUGCCGACACGUGCCACGCUUGCGUGCUGAUAGAUACGCACAACCUCCUGCUGGCACGCUUUGGCACGGAUUUUUUUUAGUUUUUUUGAUUCCAAUAUACUCUUAUAAUUUUAUUUUGAAAGAUUUAAAUAAAUAAUUAUGAAUAUUUGCUAUAUAUAAUUUAUUAUACCGAUCAAUUAACAUGCAUGUGAGUUUUUUGUAAGUAAAGUACAACUAUACCUGAUGUAAAAUAGAAAUUAAAAUACAAUAAUAAAAUUCACAAGCAUAAUAAUUAUUUAAAUUUACAUCUUUACAUAAAGGAUGACUGCUUAAUUCCAUAUAGAUUGUUGCGCUUGAUCAUAUGGCAUAUUGUCAUCUGCUGAUACAAGAUUUAUUUGACAAUGUUGAUAUAAGUAUUGCCGUUAUUGUGAGAGAGUCAUAUAUUCCCGACAUAUGUCAUUGUAUUGUCGGAGAUAACCUGCAUAUGCAACUGGAUCGUGGAUAUAAUGGACAACAGUCAUCUGUGGCAUAUAGACUGAAGCAUUAUAAGGAUAUGGAUUGUAUGGAAUAGAAGAACCAUAAUGUGGAUAUGCAUGAGCGGACGAAGAUUCGCCGUAUGAGCUUUCACUAUGAAAUGGGAUGGAUUGGGAUCCACUCUGAGUGCCAUAAAUUGAUGAAUCAUAAUCAAAUAUUCCUCCAUAUAGGCCAUGUUGAUAUGAGAGAUGCGAUGAUAUUGAAGUACUAUCAAACUGUGUGUACAAAGUAUCAUCCCUUCGUGGAGGUCUAGUUGAUAGUGCCUCCAAACCUUCUCUCAUCUCCUCAUAAUCUUGUUGUGAGGACCUCCUAUCUUUUCGACGGUCAUAUACCACUCCGGAUGUUUGACGUGGUCGAGACCUAUGAUCAGCAUCUUGAGUGGUAUGUGUGAAGUUUUGUUCUUCAGUAAAUAUAAGACCACGGCCACCCUCACUCUCCUGUUGUGUUGGUGGAAUGAAGUCGCUACCAUCCUCACUACUAUCAGUGGUAUCAUUAUCAUCACUACAGUCAUCUUUAGACUGUGGUAAUCCAGAAUCUGCUGGUGUCGAUGUUUCACUAUCAUCAUCUUGUGGGAGUGCAUCAGCUGCAUCUAAUGGAUCCAUCGAUGUCAUACUUUUUUUACUCUUGUUAUACUUUUUUUACUCUUACCACUUCGGACUGUCGUUGAAGGCUUUUUGCGGUAUAAAACGUUUUCUCCUUUCCAGAUUGACUCUGAGUAUGGCGUGAACGACCAUAUCCAGGUCCUUGCAUAAGACGUUCGAAUUCUACAUCAGAGUCAUGUGUAGGAUUUUGGGAUUUUUCGUCCAAAGCUGUUUGUUCUUGCACAUUCCCUUGACACCUUCCUAUGUUCUCGUCAGCCCAUCUUUCAACAUUACUAAUUCCUGCUUCAUCAGCAAUUACUCUGAAUGGUCGUGGUGGAUCUCCAGGCUCAUCGAGUAAUGGGUCCUCUUGAUUGUCUCUAUCUUGUAGCCAAUCAAGUAUGGGGCUUGAUUCAUCAUUGAUAAAACUUGCAUCCAAGGGAUCAUAAGUUUUAAUUUCUUUUCCUUAUCAUACUCCUUUUGCAUGCAUUUUAAACGGAGCCUUAUAUUAUAGUGGACAUAAACUAGCUUUUCUAAUCGAGCGUACGCUAAUCGAUUACGCACUUUGGUAUGUAUUAGUGCGAACGUGCUCUAGUUGCGUUCACAUCCACUAGACGUUGUCGUUUGAGAUAAGACACACACAACAAUCUUUUUUAAAUGCUUUGCUGAUCCACCAUAUUGUAGCCAUCGCUAAGCUGUACAAUUAAAACUUAAAAAUAUAGCAAAUAAGAUUUAUCAUCAGCUGUAAACUGUCCAAAUUAUGGAGUUACUUACUGGGAUCGGUAUUGUAUCUUCCGUUAAUUGCACCCGCUUCACCAAAAGUUCUAGAGGAUUCAUGAAAUAUUUUUUCCUUUAUUAUGAUAAUAUAAUAAUUAGAAAUCAGCAUAUUAACAUCUAGCAAAUUAAUAAUACAUUGAAAAAAUAUUAUACCUCACUUAUGGCAAGAGCAGCACGUGUUGGAUCCCUCUCCAAUCUAUUGAUAACGUUUUGUAAUGCCUUCAACAGUUCAUCAUUAAAUUCAAGAUUAUAACGAUGAUGGUACGACGGAUUAAGAUAAUAAUCUAUCAUUAAGAAAGAAAUCACUCCAUUAACAAUACAAGAUUACUAAUGAACAAUCAAUAAUAAAUAGUUUUGUUAUAAUUUAUAACUGACCUGCUAGGUGUAGAUCCUUGCUCAUCUAGACGUCCCAACGUCUGUCAAUAACUUUUAGAAAAGAUUGACACCGUGGCGGAUUAAUUUUUUUAAUAUUAUCUUUAGCCAUCCUCAGUGUAUAAUAGACAUGUCCCAUUUGAGGUAUUUUUUUCCUGAUCCACUAAACGGAGGACCACAUAUAGCGGCUCCACAAUAUCAACAAUCUCUUUCACAUAAUCUCAAAACUUGGCAGACAGAAUUAUUUGCUCAAUCGAUUUUCCAUCAGCCGUAGAGGUAUAACGAGAUGUUUGCCAAUCAUCUGAUGCAAACAUGGACUUUAAUCCAUUUUUAUUUUGAAGGAUAUUGUUUAGAGCAAUAAAAUUUGUGGCAAAUCGUGUGAUACCAGGACGUACGAGUUCUCGUCAUGUGAAUUUCACCAUUAGAGCAUGGACCCAAAAAUGAUUAUACAAAUACUUAGAUACACGUUGUGCAGUAUCUAUAAUUUUUUUAACCCGAUUUAUCUCACCGAAGUCAGACAUUAUUCGGUUGAUGCAAUGCGCUGCACAAGGAGUCAAAAUAAAUGUGAAUGCCUUUGCAUUAAUAGUUUGCCAGCUUUUUUGAAAUUUGCACCAUUGUCUGACACAACUUGUAUCACACAUUUCUCACCAAUCUCACCUAAAACUUGUUCCAAUAAUGCAUAUAUAUAAUCGGUAUUUUCAAAUCGACCGGUCGCAUCGACUGAUUUGUGGAAAACCACCCUGCCAUUACAAUUGAUUAAAAAAUUUAUAAUGCUCAUUUCUGUCGGUCCUGUCCAACUAUCUCACAUCAAGGUAACACCAUACAUCUCCCAUUGUUGUUUGAAGGUUUUUACCCAUGCAUGAAUAUCAUUGACCUUCGCGUCAAGGUAUUUGCCAGAAAUCUCAUACGGCGUUGGGGGUUCAACUCCUGGACCCUCCUUUUGUAUGGUAGCGAUCAUUGAUCUAUAAUAUAGAGUAUUUGCUGCAUGGGAAGGAAUAUGAGUGAAGUGAAAAAAUUUCGCUAUUGCUCGACCAAUUUUGCUUUUUUUAAUCUUUUUUUAGCAUACUAUCUAUGCGCUGCUGUUGAGCAUCUGGGUCAGGAAAUGCCAUUGGGUCUAUAUCUAUAAUAUUUGGAUGUCUUCCGAUUUUUUCUUUUGGUCCUUUUUUAAAUCUAUUAAACAUGCGGCUAACAGAACCACUUCGAGCUAAAUCAGAUGGUGUAUAGCCAGACCCAGACCCAGACCCACCACCAGCAUCAAACUGAGGGCGUCCAAAUUGUGCUCUAUGUCGUUGGACUUCAUUUUGCUGCCAUCUUUCUUGUGCAGAUGCUUCCAUCGCAGCUCUAAUAUUAGGAUCUAAUUCAUCACCUAUACCUUCAUAUGGGUCAAUAGGGGGAUAUUCUGCCGCUCGUUUAUCUAGUUCAUCUCGACCGUCCCUUGCUUUCUUUUUUGCUAUUUUUGAAAAUUCUAAUUCAAUUUUCAUUGCAUGUUUUAUUUCCUGAGGGACUUUAGGGCAGUUUGAUACUUUAGAAAAACCCCCAGCGAUAUGUUUCUGUAGGCGAGUGACACCUCCGCCAAUUCCGACCAUAUUACAGUAAUUGCACUUCCAAUGAAAUCUAUUUCCAUCAAUCAUUUGUCCAUGUUGCCAACCAUAAUCUUCUGUUCUUUUAGGUGGUAUUAUGAUCUAUAAUUACUGACAUACAGACAACUCAAAUAAAUCUAUUUUAGAAAAAUAAAAAAAAGAACGACAGGAUAAAAAAGAAUCAUAUGUAUCAAAUUAGAAAUUUUUUUUUUUUAUUUAAAGAAAUUAUAACAGAGAAAAUUAUAGAAAAUUUUAUUUUUUUAUAAUUUUUUUUCAAAAUCUAUAUAUUGAUUUGAUUAGAAAAGCAUAUAAUGAGUAGAACAAUCAAAAUAGAACUGCAAUUACAUUCAUAAUUUUUUUCUUUUUUAUUCUUUUAAAAAAUAUUUGAUCAAAAUUCUAAGAAAAUAAAUGUUGAAAAAAUUCUUCGAAAAUCUGUUAGAAACUUAGAAUUGAUUAACUUUUAAAAUUCUUUUCAUUUUUUUUCUUUCUUUUAUUCGAAUUUUAAUAAUUUAUAAAAUAUAAUGUUAAAGAAAUAGUUUUCUGGAAAUUUUAAUUUUUAAAACUUAAGUAUCAAUUGAUUUAAUUUAGCUUCUGAUUUUAUCAAUAUUUUAAAUCUUCUAAUGCAAAAAUAAAAUUUUAAGAUUAAUGUAACUCAAAGUUUGUUUACCUUGAUUCGCCAAAAGUUUCGCGGUGUGAAAAAGUUUGAUAACAUAAUUUGUGAAAAGAAAAUAGAUGUUUGUGGUGGAUCGAAUAUAUCAAUAAAAAUUAACUCCUAUAUUUAUAAAUAAAACAAUUAAAUUAUAAUUUCUUUCACUUACCUAAUAAGCAAAUCUGCAAUAUGCAACGUCUUUGGCCCCUUUAAAUAAUUUUAGGAAGAUAUAUCGGCACUGAGAAGAAAAAAAAGAUAGAGAGUAAAGGAGAGGAUAAUCAAGAAAGAGAGGGGGAAGUUGCCUGAGAAAGAGAGAGGAAAGUUUCCUUAAGUAGACGAAGGGGGGAGGGCGAACAUGACAAAAAAAAAAAAGCAUCCGCAGUCAAAAGAAAACCACCAAAUGCAAAAAGACAAAAAAAAAAAAGAAGCAAAGAGCAUCAGAAGGAAAAGACGAGGUGGAGGAUGGGGGAGGGGGGGGGUGAUCAUGAGAAAAAAAUAGCAUCUUGGCCUUUGGGUUACCCAAAGGCCAAAACCCCCUCCAAUAAAAAGACAACCCAAAAGCAUCUCACAGUGCAAAAGAAAACCAACAACUACAAAAAGACAAAAAAAAAAAAAACCAAAAAGCAAAAGAAAAAAAAACAGCUCUUUGCGGCACGGCAUAGUAUCGCGGCACCCUCACACGUGCCGCUUUGUCUCGUGCGGCACGCGCAGGGUGCCGCGGCACACAGGGUGUCACGCCCCAAUCCCCGUCAAUUUGGUCGGGUUUAGGUCACGUCAACAGACGCCGAACGGACAGCAUCUCCUCUGUCCGCCCAAGGCUCAAACAAUAUGUAUAAUUAAACAAACAACAAAGAGAUUUUGUAAUUAUACAAGGCUUGCACGAGGGCAAGCAACAACGGAAGCGAAAGCUCUAAGCUAAAUAUACAACCAUACAUGAUAUUUGAUUACAUUUUAACCAAAUACAAGUAAACUACAACUAUUACAUUCAUUUUCCACUCAACCAUAAUUCUUUACAUUUUUGUCAUUCCCCAAAAUACAUGAUAUGUUUUCAACUUUACAAUUCUAAAUUAACAAAAUAAAAGUUGAUACAUGUAGGCAAAAGAAUGACUAAAAAUGUAUAAGUCCCGGUGGGCACUAGCUAUGGCGCAAUACCCUUGCCUCGGUCCUCCGCCGCCCCGCUCGCGCUCGGACCUGUAGAGUUCGUGGUGUGAGAACUACAACGAAGUUCCCAGUGGAUUCGUCAACCGACCUCGCCGACUUACCCAUUAGGUCUAUUCAGGCAUAAGUAUUUCAAAAGAAAGGAAAACCGUAACCAAUGCUAAUGCUAAUACUAUGCCCGUAAGAAAGAUGUCAGUGGAUAUAUAAUCAAAAAUAGAAUGCUCAUGCAUGCAUGCUUGUUCCAUAACUUUACUUUGGCUUUUACCCAAUCUUGCCGGUUAACCUUGUUAACCCUAAAACUCACCAUCAUAAUUCCUGUCUACCGGGGGAGGCUUUAGGCUCAACCACCCGAGGGUCCGUCAACGGGGUGCUUUCCCCGUGGUGUCUACACUCCGGAGUACACCGCUUGAGGAGGAGCUACCUCCCUCAAGCCUAGUUAAUGUGAGUAUCAAUCCAAUCCUCAACUUGAGGAUACAUAACCACUAGUCACAAUGCUAUUUCUAUAAUAGGUUUCUACCUAUUUCUUCGUGCCACUUUCUAAGUCAUUCUCGUCACAAUGCCACUAAUUGUUAAACCUUGUUUACGAGUCAUGUCUCGAUGCCAAUCAAGUCUCUAAUGUCAAUGUCACCUUUAUUACUAUUAUCUUGGUCCAAGUCUCACAUUCACACAAGUGUAGCGUCUCAACAUUCAUGUCCGCUAUGGCUCAAAUCAUUUUUCAUGUUCAACUACGUUAGAAGCAUAUAAAUGAAAUUAAACCAUCAUUCACAUGUGAACUACCCUAAUAUGCAUGAAUGACUCUAUAUACAAGUAUGCUUAACAAAGGUGAAAAUAGACAUAAAGGGGAAUCCGAUGAUUCCGGCGUGCAACCCCCACUUUAAAUAUUAUAGAUGGGUUGUAGUUCGACUCUCAUGAUUUUAGGACGCCUCUCCCGCGACCUAUACCCAAAAUAGUGCCGAAUUAGGCCCUAUACACAAGAUCUCUUACUUAACCUUUUCGUAACGUUAAACGGAGUUGUCCCACGCGUCGGGAAUACCCUCAAUUAGGUUUCCAAGAGGUCAAUUUACCUCGGAAACAACCGGAGGCAAAAGCCUCAAAAUCCAUGCCCUAACAAUGCCAUAUUUAAAUUUCUCCUAGAUUGAUCUCAUCUCUAAGCAAAUGAUAGCUUAGAAUCACCUAGAAAGCUCUCUAAUACUAUUACCAAGCCUCUAGAACCAUUCCUAGGGCAUCAAUUUUGGAUUCUAGCAAUCCACCAUGAGAGCACCUUGAGAAAACCAUGUUUUCAUGGUGUUCAAAGCUCUAUUACACUUCUAAAGUCUCUAAAGAGACCAAAACUCCCAAAACCUAGGGUGAAAUCCAAACCCUAGAUGGCUUUACACUAAAACUUACCUUAGCCAAGAGCUAUCUCCAAGUCCACCUUGAUGGAGAGCUCCUAGAACCACCAAAGCCACCAAAAUCCCUUCAAAUCUCCUUCUUCUCCUUCACCACCUUGCCCUAGAGUGAGAUCUCUAGAGAGAGAAAAAGAGAUAUGAGAGAAAGAGAAGGAGAGGGGUGUUUGCUGUGAAGGGGAGAGAGGUUGGGGCAAUAACAUGUUGUAACAAUUACAACUAAGCCUCCCAAAAAGUGUUAUUUACAGCAGAUCUCAAUGUUGCUGCCAGACCAAAGUGUACCGGUACACGGGAUGCUGUCACCGGUAAUACGAUUACGCAUAGGCAAACGCGAGAGCAAUUCUUGCAGGUUUUACCAAAGUGUACCGGUACACACCAGGGGUGUUACCGGUAACACAGUCAAAUUUUCUCAAACCCGAGAGCUUCUAUCUCUCGGUUUGCUGGCCUGUACCGGUUACAACUCAAUGGUUGUACUGGUACACUUUGCCCAGAAUGCAGUUUUAGUUCCGAUUCUACUCUACUUCGCGCCGGUCGAUGCUAAAACCUUUCUAACUCUUUCUAAACUUACUUUUAGCCCUUCCAACAUCAUUGGAAUGCUAAUGCAAUUUGUCCAUCCAUCUUUUUCGCAUACUUUAGUCAAUUUGGCUAAAGUUCGAUAAUUUCUUCCGAGUUUCAAUAUGUUACACAGGAGGGGUUCGAGACCCCCGCUGUACCGUGCCCCUAUCUUGGGGGCACGGUACAUGCCGCACUUGCACGGUGCGGCACGCACGAAACUUUAAACCUUGAUAUUUUCUAUAUGCUACACCAUAUUCCAAGUUUACUUAUACCUACACUUGUGAAUGCCC